rnacentral:lncRNA from 1 species
UUCCGAGGGCUCCUCCCUCUUCCGUUCGUCCGGUUCUCUUGGUCCUUCUUCCUCUAUUUUCCGAUGGCCGCUUCCGAUGUUGAGUUCCGUUGCUUCGUCGGCGGCCUCGCUUGGGCCACCGACGAUCGGUCUCUCGAGAGGGCCUUCAGCGAGUUCGGCGAGGUUAUCGAGUCGAAGGUGCGGUUUUCUUCUGCAGAUAGCGAUCUGAGUUUUUGUUGCUUGGCCUGUCCGAUCGGAUGGAUCUGACCAGGAGGUUGCAUGUUCUGCAGGUUAUCAAUGACCGAGAGACCGGGAGGUCGAAGGGCUUCGGCUUCGUGACCUUCAGCAACGAGCAGGCGAUGAACGACGCCAUCAAGGGGAUGAACGGCCAGGAUCUGGACGGCAGGAGCAUCACUGUCAACCAGGCCCAGUCCCGUGGCAGCGGCGGCUUCCGCGGAGGCGGCGGCGGCGGUUACGGUGGCGGCUACGGCGGGCAGCGCCGCGAGGGCGGUGGCUACAGCCGCGAGGGUGGUGGCUACAACCGCGAAGGCGGUGGUGGCUACUCCCGCGAGGGCGGUGGCUACAGCCGUGGCGGCGGGCGCGACCGUGGUUACGGCACCGGAUCUGACCGCUUCUCCAGAGGCGGCGAGGGCGGCGGCUCGGACGGGUACUGGAGGAACUGAGGCCAGUCCCGAUGUGGUCUGGUGUUUAUCUUUAUCGAGGUUCUUGUUCUUGAUCUUGAUCGUUUCCAUGUUCCUUCCCCCCGAGUAUAUCUCUGCGUUGUUCCCUGAAUCGAUCCACCAUGCCCUCCUGUCAUGUACGGUUGCCGGCAGUCAACAGAUGGGAUGCCAAUGAAUCAAGUCGAUCUAUCCUCCUCCCCCCUCGCUUCCUCGAUCUCCGAUCCGAAACCUACGCGAAUGAUCAUUCGGACGAAGAACAUCUCAAGAUCUGGACUGGAGCAGCCUCCGAUCAUUGAUGGCGCCCGCUUUUUUGUGGGACGAGGUUCUGACCUAGGGAAUCAUAGAUCUGCCUUCUGAAAAACAUUUAAAAUUGCUUGUCAGCGCCAUAAACGCGAGAUCUGUCGGAAGAUCGGAAACCGAGGAGGCAUCAAGACUCCAGGAUCUCGACCGAGUGGGAUGAAAUCGAUUGAAUCAAUAGUAUCAUUCAAGGUGGACGGGAAAUCGGGAUGAAAAACGCCCGUUGACCGAUGAUUCGGAGGCUAUGAUUCCAACGAGAGCGAGCGAUGAAUCAGCUCCUCUGUUAGAGCCAUCGGCAGCCCCAUCACACUAUCGGAAGCUCCAACCUGUGCAACCACCAAGCGUGCGUUCACCGAUCGAGAUUAAAAAAUAAAUAAUAAGAAAAGUGAAAUGAGACAGGAGCUAUGAGGGGAUGGCAGACCACUGCUUCCACAAAUGGCAAAGUCAACGGAUGCUCUAAUAAUAAACCGCCGGCAACAUUGAAGACGAUCCGCUCGCCAAUCUGAAUAACAAGAAAAAAAAUUUCGGAUUUUUAUUAACAUAUCAACGCGAGCUGAAAGAAAACCCCGCGAGAAAUGGAACUGAAUCCAAUGAUUUCUUUCACUUGAAAAAAAAAAGUUUUUUCUCCAGACUUUAAACCAACAACAGAUGACUUGGGGAACGCCAAAGUCAAAAUCGCAUCAAACCAGAUUCCUUACCAGCUUAGCGAUGAUCUCAUCAGGUAUAUCAUGAAAAUAUACCUGCACAUUGCCAGUAAAAUGUAAGCCAUGACGAAAAAAUGAUUACGGAAUGAAGGUUAUUCAUUAUUAGUAGUCAUGCAACGAUGCACACGACAUGAGAUUGGGCAAAACGAGCGCCAGGGCCGCUAAGAAACACAUCUCCAUAAAAAAUAAAAAUAAUGUUAAUCUGCUCUUAUAAAAAAAAUAUUUUUAAAAAAUAUCAUGAAGUAUCUCGCCUGGAGAAAGACCAUUUUAACUAAUUAAUUAAUUAAUAGGUGACACCGUAUUUACCUUUGCUGAGUUAGAUCUCAUUCAGACCGAAUAACCAGAGCGUAUAGCUAUAUGCUCGGUUAUUUCUUAGAAAUGAGAAGCAUUUUUAGUCGCGGUGACGUAAACUAAUAAUAAUAAUAAUAAUAAUAAUAAUAAUAAUAGUAAUAAUAAUAAGGAUAAUAAUAAUACAGAAUAAUGUGAUUCUUUUUUUUAUCACCACUCAGUUUCAGAUCACAGGUUUAUUUGUAUUUGGAAGUUGAACACUUGCUGACGGUUGUCUCAUUAAAAAAAAUCCUAACAGGAGUUAUGAGCCAUGCAUCAAAUCGAAUCGCUCUACCCAUCAAACUACCAUUUAUAAUUGUUUCAUGAGCCUGCAUUAAUCUAUAAAAAAUCACUGCAAUAAAAUAACGGAAGGAAACUAGACAAGCACAACAGAUUACCUCAGCAGUAUCCAACCCUUCUGUUCUUACGCCUGUCUUAAGGUUGGUAAUAACAACAGAUCCCACAGUUGAAACGUGACCCCCAGAGUACCCUGAAAAUAGCACCAUCUUUAGCAUUUUGAGAGAAACUUCCCAAUUCCAGCUGCUAUAAAUCGAUUGGAGGGAGAAAAUAUAUUAAGUAAAACCCUUGAGGAACUCCCAGGCCUCCUCCUCGCUGGAUGGCUUCUCUCUGAUUAUUCCUUUAUGGACGACCACCUGCAAAUCAGCUCUGCUUUCUAUGAUUUCCUACAAAGAGGACAUUAAAAUGAACAGAACCAAGCAAAUCUGCUUCGGCAGUCCAGUAAGAGUAAUAGUUAAACGCAGUCAUAAUGUUACAGGAGCUAACUCUCUCUGGUUCACCUCGCUGGGUACGAGUAAAACUGAAAGAAAGAGAUUUUAGCAGGAUUUUCUUCAAGAAAAAGGCACCUUAUUCCGAAAUCCUUAAUAUUUCCUUUAUCAAAUCCUCGGGUGUAGGCAUUAAUCUGGUGAAGUAAACAGGAAAGAAGAUGCAGCGGGAGGGAAACAGGAUGCUAUAAGAUCUGCCUGUAGGCUGUAUCUGUCUUGGCUUAUUCUCUCAAAAACUGACAUGAUUUCAACAAUGUAGGGACUGUGUUGAAUAACAAAUGUCCUCUAUGAAAUGGGUGAUGAUGAUUCAUAAAAUAUUGGAUGAUAAUGCACACGUUAUUAAAGGAAUUCAGACAUACAAUAUCCGACGUGAUUAACAGUGUUGGCUCAUUAUCCUUUCCUCUGUAGUCCGGAAUAUUUAGCCUUGAUAUGAUUGCAUCUGCCUGAAGAGAAAAUAGAAUUUGAGGAAAAUAUGAUGGUGAACUGUAUGAUGAUCAAGAAAAUUCAAAGAAGAUGAGGCAAAUGAAACCAUAGUACUGGGGAAAUAAAUUAAAGAAACUUUAACUGGGGGGUAGUUCAUCAUAACAUAUUUAGACAAACGUUAACCUUCUAGUGGGCUCAUCAUAAGAAGGAACUUACAGGCGAUUGGAUAUUCAUGGCUUUUCCUUGCGAAAGAACUACAAGGUUUAUAAUCAAACUGCUGAUUAGGGAAAUAUUAUGAAAUUGUAGGAAUAAAUCUUUUAUGACUGCAUACAGCCCGAGACCAACACGAAAACCACACUCUGAGGUCCUGAGUCAUAAAUCGAUUGAAUCCUGGGCAGUUGACAAACGCCUAGGUCUCCAAAAAAUCCAUGUCAGUGACAAGCUAAACUUUGACAGGAUGCAAGGCCAUCUACAAAACUUUAUUAUCCUUUCCACAUGAUCACUCACUAGACCCAUAUUGGAGGAGUUUAUUGACACCGAUCCUGCUGUAAGUGUUGCUCCACGCCACUUACCCAUCCUUUAGAUAAUAUUUCCCAUAUCUUCUCUGUACGAGUACGACAUAAAUGCACCCCCCAGUGCAUCCAUCCCAUUAAUAAACAACAAGCGUUUUACAGCUUUAUGACAGAGGUACAAAAGUUCGGUUGCGCAACUCAAACUUAGUUUGGCUUUAAAGAUUUUCAAACCGAUAAACGAGUACGAGUAAAUCACACUCAAUUUUCAUUGAAGAAGCUAUAAGAUCGUCAUAUAGUCCUUAUUUGAUUCACGACUUAACUCCAUAUUUGAUCAGAAAUAGGUUUCGAUUUCCUCAACACACUGCUACAACUAUAGGAGAAGUUUUCUGUUGAGUGCGACGGUAAAUUUCUUUUUGAUUUAAUACUCUUUCAAAGUUUUGGUAUUUUCAACUGAUAACUGUCUACCCUAAGUUGAGAUAUUUCCUUAGUUCUAUUUGUAGUGUGUUACUGAAUUUAUUACAAUAUAGAUCCUAAUAGACCCAUAUUAGGACCGCCAGUGUCAGUGCAUCCAUUUUAAGACGAACCCGAUAGACUCCUAUUAGGACUUAUGGUAUACCUCACCGUAUUCAAUUCAUGUUGGUUAAUCGAUUUCAUUUCUCUCCAUUGGUACUGUGCCAGAUCAAGGUGGCUAGAGUUCCUCUUGUGCUAGUUUUUUACGUAAAAGACAACAGGCUGAGAACUCCUUCGAGUUUCCAACCUUCAACACGAUGUCAAUGUUCUUUUUUACUCCUCUGGAUGAAAUAUGUGGGAUCUUUCUGUUUUCUAGGCCCUUGUUAGGGUUCCUCCUCUCCAACCCAUGGCCUCCUUUCACAGCCUUCUAUUUUAUAGUAGAUCCUAGGAGGUGACAUCACUGAAAAAACGCACUGGUCUCCCAUGGGGGACUUCCCCUUUUUCCACCACAGAUAGUCAUAGCCCAAACCCGAGCGACAGGAUCUCAUCUUCCUUGGGGGAUUUCCCUCUCUUCACCGUAGAUAGUCAAACCCCAAAUCCCAGACCAUUUAAGGACUUCUUUAAAGACGAGUUCUCCUCUAUCCCUUACUGUGCUUCUUGACGGAAUCAAGUGACAGACUGUCUCAUGCAACUGAAAACUUCAACUGAUUAUAAAUUUUAUUGCAACCGUCGAUUUCUUCAUCAAUGCAAUCAAGAUGAAGAUUAUGCUAUUAGGGCACAAAAAUAUGAUUUUUCUAGGCGGUAAACAAGUGCCAAUAUGGAGGAAUCAUUAUGAUAGUGAGGACAAACUGAACGUUGAACUUUCUACAUUCUAUGGAGAGCUCCAUAUUUAGAAUUCUAAAAGUUGGUUGCGUAAGGUUGAGUGGUUCCUUGAUGAAAACGUCGUUCUAGAUGAAAAAAAAGGCAAAAGUAGUACCCUCGGAACUAAAAUGAGCAGCCUUGAAAUAGUGGUAACAAUUUCAAAUGACAUAUUUACUGUAGGCAUAAUACUAGUUAGAUGAUGGAGAUGAACAAAACAAUGGAUGCGUGCAUAAAUCCUUUCCAGAGAUAAUGAAUAGAUGUUGUUCUGGCAAUUAAGUAAAUGCUAAUGUACUCUUGAAGAAACUGCUAAUACACUUUUCACGUUCAGUCUGAGCUCCUUUUUUUUUAUACAGAUGCUUAAGAGACAUAUAUUGGCAGCCUUUAAACUCGCCAUUCAAGGAAAUGUGCGAUGAAAGACAUUCAAGAAAUGAAGCCAUACAAUGGUUUCCAUCCGGCCAUAAAAUUGAAACAAUGUGGGUUUUAUACGAAGAGUUUGUUGAACCUUUUGCGACAACUUAUCAUAAGUGAUAUGUGUAUUUAAAAAAACCAUAAGAUGGUUCAAUACAGGAACAAUUUUUUUGAAAAAGAAAUCUUAUGCAUUAUUUAAAUGUGGUAAAUUGAGCUCCCAAUGUUGGUUUGUACAAUGGCCUCCUCCGAUAAUUGUAUCAUUAUGACUGGGUAUAUGGGCUCUCAGCCACAUUGAUAGUCCAGAGAGGACAUGAUCCAUAAGUGGAUCAUCUAAAGCUCAUUAAUAUGACGCGAUUGAUACUACUAGGAUGAGAAGAAACCUUUGUUCAAAACAUGUCCAAAAAUUCUUACUAGAGGAGCAGAUGUUUCUGAUCAACGAUAUGAUGACAACUUUGGACAGUUUUUGUAUGAUGAAACAGACAAUAUUGGUGAGGAAAAGUCGAAGAAAAUAUGCAGCGGACAUGUCCUGACAAUGUUAGGGGUUGUGGUGUGCUUAGAUGACUCCAUCACAUGAUUAAAAAAUCUUUAAGGAUUUUUCAACGCUAGAAAAUGUUCAAGACUACGUGCAUGGCAUUGGACUUUAUUUAUGACCAACUAAGACAAUAAAAAUGAAGAAAAUAUCGCAGCUAAAGUAGUAGUAAACGAGUAGGAGCUACAUGUAACGCCUUAUAGAAAAUUUGACACUAAAACAUGCCACUUAAAAAAUUUAAGACAGGAGAACCUAUAUGGAACUUUGAUUUGUGACAGAGUUACCUAGGAAAGAAAUUCAUACCUUUGCCUUGGCUAGAACCGACACUAAUUCCUCUGGGUUUUCUCUCCUUAUACUCUUUUCAUCAAUGUCUGCGGUCUAGUCCAAAACAAUAGAUUUCAUGUACGGGAUUAGGAUAGAGUGAGAAACGAGCAUACGCACAUGUUCGUGGAAUUUGAUUACGCAUGAGAAGGAGAGGGAGAGAAACCAUGACGGUGAAUUGAUAUCCCAUGUCAGCCAAGAUCUUUCGGCGUGCAACUGAUUUUGAUCCCAAGAUUAUCUGAGACAGAAAGUCCACCAAACUAUCAGAAAGAAGGACGGCAGUAAGAUACCACUUCGUUUUCUCAUUAUCAUGUAAUAAUCUAUACAUGUGUAUCUUAUAAACUACGUUAGAUUCCAAAAGUUCAUCAGGAACCGCAUUACUCUUCUCUCGACAACAACUUUCUCUCUCGCGUAAGUGAACAUCUGGCAAGCGACAAAUCCGUGGAACGAAUUUUUUGAUUCUGCGGGUGAUUCAGAAAGUAUCUUUGGCAUUAUGGAAUGAAGAAAGAGAUGAAAUCACUACUCUACUCUUUCCCGCCAACGUCCAGAACACCCAUUAUCAGAAACUCGGAAGCCGGAGCCCGAAGAUUCGCCAUGAAGUUUGGAAAAGGAACACCUCGUGAUUCAUCGCACGAAAGGUGUACCGACUCACGCACAAUUACACCACAAUUUUCUGAUUUCUCCCGGGAGCUUGGGACCGGAGGCGGAUUUCCAGACACAGACGAACACCCGACCAAAGAACCACAUCGAAAGAGCCACCAACCAACCUCGCGCACCAGAUGUCGCACUCACCGACAUGAAGAACCAUUUCCAUUCCCUCCUCGGGCCGAGAUCGAGAGAGCGGAGGGAGACUGACCUUGAACGAGGCGGAUUUCGCAGCAGCCAUGGCCCCCCGCUCCCCCAUUGAGCCUCAGAGCCAGAGGCUCCUCUGCUAUAGGAGUGGCCAAAAUUAUCCUGAACUUGGGCCUUCCAUGGUCAUCUGGCCCAUUAGUGAGACUACUCCACCAUCAGUCCAGGCCCAAAACACACCAGCCCAAUAAAAUAAUAUUAAGGAAUAUUUUAAUUAAGCCCUCAAAAUUAAAAUGGAUACAUUUAUACUUUAAUAAUUUUAAUGGCACAAAUGAUAUAUUAAAUUACCUUUUCGUUUGUUUUCAGUCCUCGUCGGUUCGGCCUUCGGGACCGCCUGAAGAGCCUCCUGUCGGGUCUGGGAAUGGCUCGAUAAGGAUCCGUCGGGCGAAACGGAGGCGCUGUAUUUCUCUGUGGAAGGGGAGGGAAAGAGGAGCAGGACGGGGGUGGUGCUCUUCGGAAGUCUGGGAGCUCUGUCUCGGGCGGGGGCGCGGCGAGAGCUCUCUCCUCCGCACCAGGGAUGGCGGAUGACGACGAGUUUGGGGAUCUGUAUGUGGAUGUUCUCCGCCCUGCUUCGGGCCCUCCUCAGUCGUUGCCGUCAAGCUCCUCCAACGAUGUCAGGCUCGGCAGCUCGAAGCCUGCGCCUCUCGAUCCCAAUUUUCUGUUCGGGGGAGACGAGGAUGAGGACGAAGACGACACGGGAGUUUUCCAUAGGGCUCCGGAUUCAUAUGUAAGUCCUACUUCUAGGACGUCUCCUCGAGGGCCGGGGCCGUCCAUGGUUGCUGAGUCACGCAAAGAAGGAGAUGAGGAGUGGAUGCUCGGGGAUGGGGGGGGCCCGGAGGGGCAGCCCGUGGAUUGGAGUGAUGGGGAAGGCGAGGGUUUGGGUAGGGUUUCAAGCCCCAAAGACGGGUACUCCCCCCCCGAAAGAGACGAAUUUAGGUUUUCGCUGGAUGAGGAAGAGGAGGUGGAGAGCACGGUUUUGGUGGCUUCUCACGUGAAGGUGGAUGAGGAGAAAGAUGUAGGGGUUCUCGAAGGUAUCUCGGCUACUGCGCCGGGGAAAAAGGGCUCAAGAACGAUGGAGAUCGAUCAUAGGGAUGAAGAUGUUGAUCAAGAACCUGUUAUUCCUGGUCUUUCUGCCGUUUCUCUUGCACCAAGUGCCUUCCGUGGGAUGAGUGACAGUGAUGAAAAAAUCUCGAGAAGUGAAGAUUUGGAGAGUGAUAGUGAUGACGAUCUACAGAUUGUUCUGAACGAUGAUAAUGUUGGGCGACCCUUUGGUGGGGUCAGAAACGCGGUUGUUGGCGCUGAGGAUGAGGAUGAGGAAGAAGAUCUGGUUAUUGUCACCGACGAGGACCAUCAUCAUCAUCAUGCAGUGGAGGAGCAGGACUAUGGCGACGAAUCAAUGCAGGCGCCUCUGGAUGGUGAGAGAAAUGAGGCCUUGGAGUCGUCAAAAGGGAAUGGGGGAAUCGGUGGCGUAGGGCUGAGGAUUGGAUACAACAGUCAUGGAUUUCAUGGCCAGCAUCAUUCACAGUUUAAGGUCUGUCAUCUUUCUUAAAUAACAGGUUGUUUCUGGUAUAAUGAUUCUAUCAACGCGUUUGUUUGCUCCUUUAUUCCUUGCAUCAAUUUGAGCUGACUUAUGGGACUCCGCUCAUUGUUCUCUUAAGCUAAUAUCAACUGCAUAAUGAGGUUUCUUUGACUUUCUGCAUGAAGCAUCUUAUUUCCAGAUAAAAAAUGUAUUUCAUGUUUCUUCACAAUGUCGUACUCACAGUUUUAUCUUCUAGAUAUGAAAGAUCUGUCUUCAUGUCUUUCUAUUUGAGAUGGCUUUAUCUUGAGAAUUCGCAUCAGUUCCAGCCUUGGCUCUAUCUGCGAUAUCAUGCCAGUAAUAGUUUUUACAUUAAAUCGGUGACUAAAUGGUUGCUUUUAUCUGUGUUUACCUAUUUUAUCAUUUAAAGCUUUACAAAAAAAGGGUUGCUCAUACAUAAAUCCACUAAAUGUUGGUAAAUAGAUUUCCAUGGGGAAGCAGUAAGCAUGUUUAAGGUUAUCUUCCCUAAAGACAGUAGUGUAUGUCACCUUGUUUUCAGAAUCUGCCUUACUGUAUCUUUGGCAACUGGAAAUUAACCAAACCUAUUAUCCCUUUCACUUUGUUGUAUAUCUUCAGAUAGUGAAUUUAUUUGGCGAGAAAUUUCUCGCUCCUGUCACCUAUCAUGUGCCCUUAAAGAUUUUGAUUUGAUCAUUCUGCUAGCAUCAUAGUUAAGUUCAUAAUAUUUUGGGUUGCGUGUCAAUUUUCUUUUAUGCCAUGACUAACUGUAUCUACUUAGAGAUUAUUCAUGUUUCCUGAUAAACCUCGGUUUUUUCUUAAAUAUUGUUGUUUACUCCUGAAAUAGUAGUUUAUUUUUAAAUCAGAUGACUGUUAUCGGCAAAACUGUCUUUUGUAUCCCGUCAAUUAAAAAAAUCAACAUGUUACAGAAUUUUAGAAAUAUUCAGAUGAUAUUAUUAUUAUUCCUUGAAUUUUUUGUAUGUAUUUAUAUAUUUUUUCCCAUUUAUGGUUCUGUAGAGACGAGUUCAUACAUUCAUUUUUCACCUUUUCCUCAUUCCUUCCUAUUUCUGAGAAGUGUUAAUAUACAAAUGUCUCUUGUUCUGGUGGGAUUUAUUUUUCCUAGUGUUAACAAUCUUAUUUCAGAAUACUCUUUUGUGAUUCUUAUAUUUCGUAAUAUUUUGUGAGCGUUUUGGACAUUUCUACUUUUGAGGUUGACCAUCCUGGUGCUCCGGAUCUUUUACGUUUAAAUGUUGUCCAAAAUAUGAGUAGAGAUCUGGUACAACAUUGAAUAACGUUUUAUGCAUUUACAUUCAUCAAGUUGGAAAGCAAUAAAAGAUUUGAGAAAUUGAUACCUUUGGUUUCUUAGUACUUUGUAACCGCUAUUUUUUCUAUCAAAAUUACUAAUCAACUGAUGCAUCAACGUGGAACUCACUUUCAUCUUUCUAUUGCUUACGUCCUUGGUUUGCAGUAUAUCAGACCUGGUGCAGCAGGUAUGCCUGGAGGGCCCACUGGUAGUACUGGAGCAACUUCAGGUCAGGCUCGUCCUUCACCUGCAAUGGGUCCUAUGACUGCUCGAACUAGAGGGAUGCAAAAGGGUCCUCACUCAGGUUAUGGAGGGCCAACUUGGGGAAGCAAUGCAGCACGAGCUUAUGGUAGUGGGUUGGAUUUCACGCUUCCCUCACACAAGUAAGUUAUAACGUAAUUGUGUGGCAAAUUUAAAUGAAGCAAAUGUAUUAUGUAGAGAACCUAUGUCCGUGAAUCUUGAAGUUGUGAUUGACUCCUUAAAUGCGAAUUGAAGGGAUGUUCUUAGUCAGAAAAGAAAGUAUGCUAACGGGGAUUUUGUCAAGAGAACAAGAGUUCUGGAGAUGUACUCUACAUGCUAACUUUCCCACCGACAUUUAUGGCUGGCGGUUUUUUUUCUUUCUUUGCAGAUUUUUUUGUUGAAUAUUCAUUUUUCUCUGCACAAAUCUAGUCUGCUUCUUAAAAAUGCGUUUCUGUUGAUGCGAACAGGUUAAUUGGUUGUUUUCCGGUCUCUAAAAUGUACUCUGGUGUGUGAAUACUGUCUCUUUCCCGCGCUGUUGUCCGUUGACUGACGAUUUACAGAUGCUCCCAUUUCUUUCUAUUAUUGAAAUGUUUUCUCGUUUCUAAUCUGAAAUUAGUAGUGUAUUGAUGAAUAACAAAUGAAUGCUUGUUAUUAGCAGUGAUAUCAUGAAUGCUUGCCCUAGGGCAGUGACAGUGAGCUGGCUUUGUGGGGUUUUUUUGGAGAGCUCCUAUCUCUUCCUCCCUGUUCUCCCUCUCCGUUGCGCAUUGAAAAAUUCCUUUUUAGGAACUUGCUUUAAAUGCUGAAUUUAUCUGAUUGUCUAUUAAAAUUUGAUGAAGGCAGUUGUCUCCUUUCAUGUGUCUAACAGCUGUUGUUCUGGGGAUUUUUUUUAGGACAAUAUUUGAUGUUGACAUCGAUGGCUUUGAGGAAAAACCAUGGAGACUCCCUGGAGUUGAUAUUUCAGAUUUCUUCAACUUUGGACUUGAUGAAGAAAGUUGGAGAGAUUAUCGAAAACAUUUGGCAAGAAUUCUUUUUCUUCCUUGGAUAUUGAUCAGUGCAUGUUACAAUGGAGAGAUAGGUGAAUGCCACACUGUUUUUCUUAUCUUUGACCGAACAAAAUUGGUUUGGCCCUGCAGGAACAGCUUCGUCUUGAGGCCACAAUGCAGAGCAAGAUACGAGUAUAUGAGAGUGGGAGAUCUGAGCAGGUAACGAUGCAUGUGCAUUGCUCGGUAGUAAUAGUCUGAUCGUCAUUGCUUUUCUUUCAUGAUUUCUCCUUUCAGGAUUACGACCCAGAUCUACCUCCAGAACUUGCAGCUGCGACUGGUGCUCAGGAUUACUCUGAUAGUACUCACCAUGGAAAGCCGGAUGGUGGAUGUAUCGAUUUAAUUGGCCCUGGAAUUGGAGCUGUGCGGUCCCACCCACAAUUAGUAUGAAUUGCCACUCUCUCUUUCUAGUUCCCCCAUGGCUUUUAUUGGUAUAGUUGUCCACUUCCAUCUUUUUGAAUUGAUGUACAUGCCCUAUUUACGUUCAUGCGUUCAUGUAUGUACGAAAUGCCUAUUUUCAUCAUAAUUUUCCAGUUAUCAUCUUUGUAUAACUGGUUCAAUCGAUUUGGAUUGUAUAAUUGGCCAUGGAAUUGGAGUUGUACCCCAGGUCUUCCUUUUAUGCUUCUGUUGAAUUUUCCAAGCAAAGUUAACUAGUUUCUGGAAAAUGACGCAAGUUUUGUUCUGACAAGAAGUUUCAUUUUAGUAGGGCCCUAUAGGCCAUAAUUAAUUUACAUUCAUGUGGAUGCCGUUUAGGUGAGGGGGGUGGGGAAUAUAUUAACUGUGCUUUGCGUUACCCCGUUUCUAUGAACUAUUAUCGACAUGCUAUGACCAAAAAAAUUGCGUUCACAAACAGCCAACGGGAAGGGCUAUUCAAGUUGAAGGCGGCUGUGGUGAUCGUCUUCCUUCUAGUGAUACCAGACGACCACGAAUGCGUGAUUCAGAUGCAAUCAUAGAGGUAUGCCUUUUUCAAGUUCUACAUAUAUUUGGGUGGGAGGACCAAUUGUUGGUUGGUGGAACUUAUGGUCAUCUUUGAAAAUUUUCUUGCAAACCAGAUUGUUCUGCAGGAUUCUGUUGAUGAUUCGAUCGCAUCCAAUGGGACCUUGAAUCAACAACAGUAUGAACGCGAAGGAAAGGAUUUUGGAACAGGCCAUGAAUCAGAGGAGCAUGAUAGGGAUCCUGAUUCAGAGUACUUGGAUCGUACGCUGCCUGCUUUUAGUGAUAGGAAGAGAGAGAUGAUAGAUGGAAAGGAAACUUUUUCAGGGUCUGUUGAGAACAUUGCCCCAGAAGGGAACGGCAUCUUGCCCUCUCCUUCAGAUGUGUCACGUCAGCGUUCCUACGACUCAAAAUCACAUAGUCCUAUUUAUGAUGUUGACCAUCGUGGUACAUGGCCUGUUGCAAGGUAUGUCAUAAUCUUUUGGGUAAUUUGUUUAAAAUAUCAAGUUUCAUAUCGUGCCUUUUAUUUCCUUCCACUGUUCUCGAAAUUUUUGAUUCUCUCCGACGAACUUCAGUCACUUUGUUGAAUUUGAUGCAUGUUUGGAUGACCCUUCUACUGUUUGCUAUCAGUAUUUGUUUUUUUCGGUUAAAGUUAAUUGAGUAUCUGAUCAGUUAUGAGAAAUAAUCAAUUUUCCUCUCCUGUUUGGUAUUGACCAAGCUUUGCACUUUGACAUAUCAAAUAUCUGCUGUUAAAUAAGAGAUGUACCUGCAGCCUUCUCGCUGUUGGAUGUGUGUGGAUGUGGUAGGGAGUGGAUAUUGGUGCAAAUAGAAUAUUAUUAUAUUACUGAGUGAAACCAAGCUCUUUAGACGAGGGUACAAUCUGACAUGCUUUUUUUUACGUUGUGCAUGUGCCACUUGAUUUGUCUUUAAGGAUAUUCCCUCGAGUGUAGAUGCCCAUUAAGGUAAAUCUAAUUUGCGGUGUCACGAAUCUGGGUUUAAAUUUGUUUUCUACAAAGUUUGAAAACACGGGUAAAUGAUAGUGACGUGCCAACAGAAGGCCCGAAAUUUUGUUGAAUGAUCACGAUCUGGUGCUGAACUUGAUGGUCUAUGGGUAACGUCCAGCACUAUGGCUUCCAGUGUAGUUAGUUGGCUAGGAAGAGGAAUCUGUUAAAAUCUCAUGCUACAAUUAAAAAUAUGACAGGCACAUGAAUAAACAAGUUAGAAUGCUUAUGAAUAAACAAGUUAGAAUGCUUAGGAGAACAACAAGUCGAUCCGUCAAUUUUGAGCAAAGGGCUGCAAGUUGCGUUUACACAUGAAUGAGUUAAAUUUUAUGAUCUCCCAUUCCUUGCAAGUAGACCUACAUUUUUUAAAAUUUCAGUACUGCAGUUUUCUUGCACCAUCAGAAAGUGCAUGGAUAGAGUAGAAUCUCAGACACUACUACAAAUACUUCUGGUAAAUUUGAUGCAAACAACGUGUAACAGCCUUGUUACAAAUAUGUUUCAUGAUUUGAUGAUUAUCUACUUCUUUUUACAGUGGGACGCAAGUUUCAGCACGUGAAAGAUACUCCCAUGCAAGUGACGACGGUUCAAAUGCUGCAAUUGCAACACAGAGUGAUAAUUUGCAAGUAGAUGAUGAUCUCAAAGAUAAAUCAGGAGCCAGCAAGGUAGAUGGAGGGGUGUUGAAAUUGUCACCAUCCACGGAGGAAACUGCUGGAGAGGUUAUCUUAGAAGGUGAAGGAGAUGGUGAACUAAAUGAAAGGCUGGUGUUGGAUGAUGUUGGUGAUAUUGAAGAUGAAGAAAGAGGUUCUGAUUUGAGAGACUCAGAUGAAACUCAUAAAGAUAAUGGCUCACACCAUGCUAUCAAGAAACAAAAGUUAACUGCUCAAGAUGAGCAGCCUACUGUCCAAGGUGGUGGGGCUGAUCCAAGAGUGACACAAAGUGGUAGUCGUAAAGCGAAAUCGUUGAGCAGCAAGGAUUAUCCUAAGAGGCGUGACGCUGCAGAAGAAGAAGUUCAACAUGGACGGUCGAGGCAGGCUGGAGAUCCGAAAAGGCAUCACGACGAAGAGAAACGAAGUUCCCAACGAAGAGAUGAUCAUGGCCGGGAUGCGGCACAUGUGGACAGACACCACAGUGCUUCUAAAGGAAGGCAAGAUUCAUCCCAGUCUCAUCCACCAGUGGAAUCACGUCCAACACAUCAUUGGCGCAGGAGUGAGGGUCUUGAGAAAGCAAAGGAGAGAGAUGUCUCUGUUGGUGUCCGGCAGAGAAGGGAGGAUGAUACUUAUGGAAGAAGGGGAAAAGAUGAGGACACAAAGAGAGACCAUGGUGAGGAGAUGGGGUCAAGGCACAGGGAUAAAGCUAGGAUUAGUGAAAAGAAAGGAAAAGAUGCGGAUCCUCAUUCAAGAAAACAUGUUGAUGAUGGAGAUCGAAAAGGUCAUCAUCGAGAUUCUGCAGCAAGGCAAAGAGACAGGGAUGACAUCCCAACGAGCAGACGUGAAAGUGCUGAUGAGCUUCAUAUCAAAAAGAGGAAGGAUGAGGAACAACGGAGGAGAGAGAAGGAUUCGAAGGAGCAUUCCCAACAUGGAUACAGGAAUAGGGAAGAUGGGUCUCUUGGUAAGAGAGAAAGGGACGAUGCCUCUGAUCACAGGAAGAGGGAAGAUCAAGUGAGAGACAACUCUACAAGGCAUCGAGAUGACAACUGGAGGCAGGGAGACAAAGAGGACCGACAGCGAUUCAAACAACCUCAUGAAGACACGCAAAAACACAAGGAAAGAGAGGAUCGGAGUGGUAGACUUGUAGAAGACAAGACUUCUAGUGGGGGUGGAAGGGUCAGUGACGGAAAUUCAUCUAAAGAUAGAAGGCGAUACCCUGAUAGAAGUGCAGAUUAUGUUGAGAAGCAUAAACGUGCAGAGCAUGGAGCACGUGAGGAAAUGCAGACGCAUGAAAAUCAGUCAAGUAGCAAGGAGAAGAACAGCAGGCAACAAAGAUCGAGCAGCAACAUUGAUAAUCAUAAAAGUGCUGAUGGGAAAAAGAUGAACAGGGAAUCACAGAAGGAGAGUUCCAGGAAAAACAGGGAAAAUGAGGGAGGCGAGCUAAAAGUGGGAACUGGAAAAAGAAAGCGUGGGGAUCGUAGUGGGCUCCAGUCUGAGAAGGUCAGGCCUACCUCCAAAUUAAAAAAUUGAAGUUAGCUUCAUUAUUGACUAAAAUAGAAAGCUUAUUUGCUUUUUCUGCACCUGUUCAGAAAUGUCAUUCCAGAUUAAUGGAACUGCGGUUGGAUUUUCAUUUGAUUAUUUGUCAAUUAUGGGUGUCGUCAGUUAGCCUAAUUAGUCUUCACCAUAACCUGUCUUUAUAUUUUCAAAUGCAUUAGGUUACUCUACGUAAAAUUAUAUUCUGAUUAACCAAACUUCUGUGCAUUGUACUUCAAUAAUUACUUUAAAUACUGCUUUGGUUUUGUACUAUUGGGAAGGAGAUGAAAAGCAUUUGAUGUUGAUCUGUGGAACCUGGUGAAAAGGAAAAACCUGGUGGACUGUGUGGUGGUGGAGAUUUUGGUACAUAAAACACCGAAACGAAAGUUUUUCUAGAAGAAUUAAAGACUUCUGAAUGUUCCGACAGUGGUUUGGAACAAUAAUCUCUGUUGGCGUUUCGAAUGUCUGAGGGUGAAAAGUUUUCCUUUCUUUGCCUUGUGUUGGGAGCUUCCUCUUUUUUUGUUUCGUUUGGAGCCCUAAAGUCAUUAGUUCUGGUGUAGGAUGACCUGAUUAUGACUCCAGCUAUCGUCUAUCAAUAUUUUUCAUAGCUGUGAUGUGCCAGGUUGAUUGAGGAAGAUGACAGUACUUUUUGAGGAGAACGUGAUGCUUGUCUCAAAUGCUGCCUUUUUGAUUUGAAGGUUUUCAGUUCUGGACAAGAUGGUGGAGGAACUCCAAUUUUGAAUAGAGGCCUCAUGACCUAUAGUGAAGCCUUUAAUGAUGUGGAGGCAUCAUCCCUAAUAAUUGAUGUCGGUUCUUACAAAGGGUAUUACUAGUGACUUAGUUAAUGGUUAGUGCUUAUAAUUUAUAUUUUAAAUUAAUUUUAAUAUAUUAAAAUAAUGUGUACUCUAACUCGUUUUGCCUAAGCUGUAAGGUGGUGAAUCACCAACUUGGUUCACCUAGGAACCGUAGCCUUCGGAAGGCUUACAAUGAAGGGAUGCUUGAUAGGACAUCUUGAUCGAAAAAGUUAGAUUCUUUAUUUCGUAGAUGUUGAUACAAAUAAGAGUGUUAAAAAUUGUAACAUUGUUGGCAGUUCUAUUCAGGACCCUAUGUCAUAGAGUGAAAUCGCCGAGUUUGCCAACCUAUAACAACCUCUACAGAAAAUUAUAUUCAAAUGGAAUAAUUUAGAGAUGGAAUUCAAAAAGGAUUUUUCGUCAGCUCUGACAUCGGACCAUAUGAAUUUGGAAUAUUUGUUAUUGAAAAAUUUAGUGUGGAAAGUAAUUCCUUAUCAGGUCAAUAUUGUCUCUUGUUAAGUAGGUCAUCAGAAACUUCUUACAGAGUUUUGAUUUUAAAUCCCGACAUGAUUAACGUGUGUGGUUUCUGUGGUUCGCAUCGGGAAAUUCUACAUCCACCCCGCUAUUUCUGAAUGAGGAUUGUGGGGCAAAGAUUUUUUUGUAAAGAUUUGAUGUCCACGAGGCUCUGUGGAAGUAUGAUUCUUUUAAUUUUGUGGAACAUGUUUCCAUCAGGUUAACAGGGGUCUCUGGGUAGAAUGGAAUGAUAACUGAUUUCCGCAAAGUCUCAGGUAUUACAAACAUUAUUAGCUUGGGUAUUAGGUGAGUUUAUUGUGGGUUCAAAGGGAUGGUGAUUGUAGUUUACCAGAACUGUAUGCGAUUGACUUGAUUGAGCGAAUGUGGACAUUAUAUUCCGUUUUCUGUUCUUUUUCUAGUGUGAUCUUGCUUGAUAUUCUUCGUUUGAGACAUGCGACUGGGCCGAGAUUGUUCCACCUUUUUUUGUUUUUCCUCGUGUAUACUGUGUUCCUGUUCUUUUAUUGAACAGAGAAUUUAAUUGAGCCAUAAAAGGAGUAAAGCUACAGCUUUGUGAAUUUUUCUGUUUGUUUCAACUUCUCCCAUUGAUUGGGGUUCCCGUGGAGACGUGCUGUUGGAACAGAUGUGUACGUCUCAUGUCUGUUCUCGGGAGAAGGUUUGAAUGCUAUGAGGUUAUGAUAUUAAAUGAGCAGACAGAUCCACAUUCCGGAAUACUCCGUCUUCCAUUUUUGAGCCACUUUGUUGUGAUGAUUAUUUACAUAUUUUUGCCAUUUUCUUUUAUUACCAGUGUUUUCCACUGGCUAUCGUCUCUAUUUCUUUUGUCCAUUUUGUGGCUUGAAAUCUCAUCGAUCCCUGUCCAGUAAUCUUAAUCCGUGUUUUUUGUGGUUCUUCCAUGUGGUAAUGUGUUAUGUCAUCUCCGGUUAAUGAUUAUCCUGUAGUGUUGGUUUAUUUAUGAAUUUCUUAACAGUCACUGGGAUCAUGGUGAAUCGGGCGAAAUCAGUGUAUGUGCUCUGGAAAAUCUUUCGUUUUCAUAGGUGGAAAGGUGGCCCUAUCCAGGAGCACUGGAGUUCAAUGCGUUCUUAUCAUUAUGCCUCAACAUGGGUGGGUUAUAUGCCCAUCAAGAAUGCUGUUAAUAAGUUCUCUCACGCCUAUCAGGAUGGGAGGUUGAUGCCCUCUAUAUUCCCUUUUCGGUAUGAUCUUAGAACCUCUGGUUCUUAAAUAUGCGGUCGUCCUGUCCUUCCAUAUUUCCCAAAAGGUUCAAUGCUCUGAACAGCCAUAUUCUGUAGUCCUCGAUGGUUUUCAUUUAAUAUCAGCCUGUUUGUGUCCUCGUUUGCUAUCAGAAGGUGCUACCUAAUAAUGCCAAUGGUGUGGAACAGCUUCUUCAAAAUCUCUGUUGAAAUUCAGUAUGAUAAAAUAUGUUGUAUGAUGGCCCACACUCACGUAGAAUGCUAUCCACAUCAUGCGACAUAUAUUUGGCUGUCCACGGCGACGACUUCAGUUUGGUCCUCUUUUUCAAUGGGAUGAGUAUCUCCAAACUCGAGAUGCCUGGUGCUGCCUAGUGAAUUUUUGCGGCACUAUGAUAAGCUGAUCUGACUUUGAAUCAUCAUUCUCUCUCAUUUUUCAUCCCGACGAGGCAGCUCCAGUGGUUGACAGUGAAUUGUUUUACAAAAAGCUGAUUUGAUUCUGUUUAAGCAGUCAGAUACUUAAAAAGCCCAUGAAAUGUUCCAUGAAAAGUUUGCACAUCUCAUUAUCUUGUUCUCAUGUAGUGCUUACGUUUAAUUAUCUCAAACAAUCCUCCUACCCUGGUUCUUAAUUUCCACUGCCACUGAUGGCGAUCCUCACUCUCCUUGUUUGUCUCUGUCCCUACUUAAUAUCAUGUCAAAACUCUUUUCCAGUGUCUCUAAAAUUGUGAGAAGGGAUGAGUCGUGAAUCACCAAACUUGAUAGAACAAGUUUCCCCCCCACCAUUUUUAUGCCCAAUUUUGUACAAUCCCUGCCGUGCCCUUGUUGAGUCAUCUGCAUCCAUCACAGGCGGUAUGCCAGCAAUGAGCGGCAUGCAGCCAUGGGGAGCCAGUGGCAAAAUACCAGGGCUGCUGUGGCACUCACGGGAGCCACUGCUGGUCUGGUGAGUUUUUUUCUUUCUUAUUCUCCCUCUGGCAUUCCCUCUUCCCCUUCUUCCUCCAUUAGUGUGAGCUGCGGCCAACUUCUAAUAGAGCUCAUCAGAACCUAUAAAUCUGUCCGUUUUACGUGAUUUAAUGCCCCUAAGAAUUUUAAUGGGUUCGUGACUUGAAGCACAGUUCCUCACUUGAAUGUUGGAGAUUACGUGGACGUGUUUUGGAAUCUCUUGAUCCGCUUCAAGCAAUCUGCUUUCUGUCAUAUUUACCUAGACAAGCAAAAGAGAGGACAAAGGCGCAUACUGUUUGAGACCUCUCCCAAUGUGAACAUAGCUCGAGCUUCCCCAUCGAUUGUUACAGCAAAUCAGGCAUAAAUGACGCAAUGUUGAAGCCGUCAAUCCCAUUUAAAAUUGGUGCUCAUCCUCGGCAAUUUCGGGACUGAAAAAUUUCAUGUCAGCUUACCACAGACGUUCUCAAAGUCCUAUUUUAAGGAUCAAACUACUUAGCUGCCGGCUCUUUGCAGGAUACAUGCAUUCAUGAUCCACCAGAAUUUUUUUUCUGAAUUCAGCCUGAUGACGAACGCACUCUGGCUUGAUCUAAUCAUCUUGUCUACCACUCGUCCUUUUGGGUGUCAUCCUUGUGAUAAUUUUGUACACUCCAUCUAUGAUGGGCAUGUAGUUCUUCAGCUUGAUAUCCUUUGCUUCCAUGAGCUAAAUAGGAUACAUAGUACUCAUAGUAGGACUUAAAGGAGAUUAGAUGCUGUCGAUUAUUAUAUUCUUAAAAAAUUAAAAGGCCACAGAUCUUUACCAACUUCAUUAAAAUUCCCACCAUAGGAUCUAUUUCCCUCAUUCUCCUUUCCAUUUCCAUUCAUUCCCCUAUCUUCCCUAUCUGUAUCCCCCGACCUCCCCUGUUCUGUGGUGAUUUUACCUCCAUACAACAUCCAUGCUCUUACUUUGAUUAUCUGUAGAGUUCUUAGGUUUGUCUCCUCGAAUGUUUUUUGCCAAGGUCUUGAAGCAUGCGAGUGGAGCCCACUUCAAUUGUGGACGAUUUGUGAGGGACUUUUAACUCGUUGACUUUCAGCUGCUAAAGCGGAGAGGAGACGAUUCUAUCAGCCUUGAACCAUCGAAAUGAGAGCUCCCUUCUCCUUUAAUGGGAGGUUAUAGUCUGUCCCAUUAUCAGGGGUUUCUGUCUCACUUCUCUGGAAAUUAUUAUGUGAAUGUGGACCAUCGUAGCUGGGUCCUUUCCUACAUCUGCAAGGAAUCAGUUCUCCCUGUUCACCCUGCCACUGUACCAUGAUGAUACCUGGUCUUCUCUGAGGGCAAGGUUAACUCCUCGGUUGGUCUUCUGGGGUGGAUAGGUUCCUCUUCUUCGGUGUUACUCUGAUGGGAAAAGUUGGAGUGAGGAGGAUGAAUGCACAUAAUUGGAAAUGAAGCUGCAUCCAGAAGCUGCUAGAACAUAGUUUUUUUUUCAAUUAAUUAUGAGGAACCCAUAAUUACUUUGCCCACCAAAGUGACAGCGUAUAAUUUUGCCACUCAAUCAUUUACUAUUUUUUGGCGAAAUUCGUAGAUUAUUUACUAAUUUAAUACCGUAACCAGUUCGUCGAAGGAAUCUAUCAAUCUUGAUCCAAGGUUGAUGCUUGUUUGGUUGCUCAAGGCCCUUACCAUGUGCUCGGAUGUUUCUGAUCAAGUUACUAGCUGUUUAUAGAAGCUAACCUACAGCGAUUAACUGUAUGUUUCAAAAGAAUGCAUGCAUCUUAUAUGCCACUGUUGGUAGAUUAGUAGCUGAUUGAGUACACAUGCUUACUGAUUCUUCACUAUUUACUUGGAUGUUCUUGAAAAAUUUCUGCCUGUUUAGAGGAGGAGCCAAUGGCGAACGAUCCUCUGGUUCGAUGAAAAACAUCCUCAGAGGGGUUUUUCCUCGGCCGAUGAGAUCAAAAAGAGCCCUGGUUGGUCAACGUCGCCGGGAAAUUCUCAUGUCUGCAAACCCUUGUGUAGGUGGGCUCGAAGGGCGUCAACGCUCGUCAAGAAGGGAGCAACUCGGCCUCUGGGUUGACCUCUCAGAAGGGCCACCGACCGGGGCACGAGCCGGCCGACAUCCAGGCAGAAGAGAAUGCAGCAGCCUCCGAUGAAGACGACCCUCAGAAUGUGAAGAGGGGGCGGUCCAAGUUAGAGCGGUGGACGAGCCACAAAGAGAGGGAUUUCAGCAGCGGCAGCCUCCAAUCUCUGCCCUCAUCGUCAAAGGCCGGGGAGGCGGAAGUCAACGGCAGCGAGGCGGCGGCGCCGCAGGAGCAAGUGGGCAAGAGCGACGACGCUGGCCCGGAAGUCAAAGGCGCCGAAGCUGGCCAGGCAGCUGAUGCCAGUGGGAAGGAGAGCGAUCGGCACCUUGACACGGUGGCCAAGCUGAAGAAGCGGAGCGAGCGAUUCAAAGUUCCUCUGCCGGGGGAGAAGGACGGCGGUGCAGCAAAGAAGUCCGAGAGCGAGGUGCCGCCGACCCAGAGUGAGACCCCCGUUGACUCCGACAUCAAGCAGGAGCGGCCCGCCCGCAAGAGGAGGUGGUCCAGCAGUUGACCGACGAGGAUAGUAGGGUCAACCCAUGUUUCCCUUCCAGGGGGAGAAGAUCUCUGAUCUCUCUCCAUUUCAGUAAAAAAGUCAACUCUGGAUAUCUCUGUGAUCCGCCGGGGAGCUCAGUCAGCCACCGCCACCUCCCCCUGGGGGCUUCCAAGCUCUCUCUCUCUGUCUCUCUCUCAUUCUCUCUCUCUCUCUCUCUCUCUAGACCAAAUCACGAGAAGAGGCUUCCAUUUCUGCUUGCUGUCUGGUCAGAAAUGUACAUAUUUGCCCACCAUUUCUUGGGUCUCUCUCUUGGAACAUUGGUGGUGGGGAUUGGGACAUUUUUCGCAUGUAUCCUCUGAAUUCUCGUCAAGUCAAACGAGGGCUAUUUUUGUAGAGCCGGGUUUCCAUUCCGAGCCAUUUUUCCCGACCUGUCUAUUUUAGGGUUCUUAUAUAACAAAAAGACCCCGACUUUUUAAAAGAUGUCUUCUUUGGUGCGAUUUGUAAAUUUUUUAGGGGGUUAUUUGAAAAUGGGCUUUGCCCCUACGGCCCAGCCCAUUAGGACACAUGUCUACUGGUAGAAGGAAUCGGAUGGGAAUAAACUGAGAUGUGGGCUUCCGAAUGCCGUGCAGGGGCUUUCGAGUGAUGGUUCAUCCCGCAGAAGUAUCUCGUUGCCAACGAACCUUCAACGGCUGAAGAAGAUCUCCAUCUACCCAUCCGCGGAAGGCGGAGAUGGCGAUCUCUCGGCCGGAGUCCGAGGUCCUCCCGACCGGCGGCGCCGAGGCCAAUCCGUCGUGGUUCACGCCGAAGAGGUAGGAUCCUUCUUCCCCUCUCGGACUCGCCUUCGCAGGCGCUGAGCCCUCCCACCGCACGCUAAUUUAGAACACAACCUGGCUUUGAAGUCACCUAUCCUUUGGUUCUUUCGUUCCUGUUAUUGUCUCGGGAUUCGGUGAUGCAUCCAUUUACUCAUCAUGGGGAGUGCUCGGAGUUCAUAAAUGUGUAGAUGGGUUGAAGUAUUGAGUUCGAUUAUGAUGUCCAAUUCCAUGGGAACUUUACUUCAUGGGAAUCCUUUCAUUGUUUCGAAAGUGGCCGAUUAUAUUUAUUAAAUGCGUUGGUGUCUAGCGAUUUAAAAAUUCAUUUUAAAAUAAAGCUAAAAUAUACCACUGUAAUGUAACUGAUUCAUCGGAAACUAUGACAUAAACCUGUGGGCAUGUCAUACCUUGGCCCGGUCGUAUAUCUUUGCCUAAGUUGGAAUGACAGCUGAAUAAUACAGUCAGUACCCUCCUCGCCUCCUCCCCCCGCGUAGACACACACACACACACACACACACACACACACAUUUAAAUUGGUAACAUCAAAGCAGGUAUCUCUCUUAUCAAUUGGACCGGGUUUAAAUUUUUAUGCAUUCAGAAAAAAAAUGCAAAUGAGAAUGCGGUAAUUCAAAAAGAAGAGAAAAAGAGAAUAGAUAAUGGAAAUCUAUGCUUUUUAGGGGUGGCUAAGAAUAAACCAAAAGGAGGCUAGAAAAAAGAAUAAAUACCUUGACAAGAGUAUACGGACUCGAAGAACGUUAAUUUGAUGCCAUUUUAAAGGAAUGAAUUGGCAUUUUCUUGAGCUUACUCCAUUUUCACAUUCAGUCAGUAUUUUGAAAUCAAUGGAAGAGAAUAUUUUUCUUUAAAUCUAUGAUUAUGUAUGUAAUUAUCUCGCUUCAUGUUUAGAUUGUCUGUUUUAUUAAACUUUCCAUUGAAACAUGUGAAUCUUUAAUAACUUUGAAUUUUAUGUCAAAUUCUAUUUCAAAAAAAUUGGGUUCCUAACUACCAUGUUUUAUUCUGCUCUUGUUCUAAGGUGUUGGAAUCAUGAUACGGUCGUUGAAUGAGAGAAUAUGCAUAAAAGGAACUUUAAUUUAAAGCAUUUACUUGAACACAAAGAGCAUUUGUAAAGAUGGACCAUAAAAUUUGUACAAGGUUAAUGUUACAUUCCAUUCUGAUUGCAAACAAGGUGCUUAGUCAGAAAAGGAAUGCAGUUCUAUCCUCUCCAGAUUGCAAAUUGUUUAUCUUCAUAUUCUUUGACCCAAAAAUUUUCAUUUUUUAGGUAGUAAUAAUGCCUGAGAGAUUUUUUAGUUAGAUAUUACGGAAGUAGGUUGUUUAUCCCAAUGAUCUCUGGUUAAAAUUUUCAUUUUACAUAGUUAUAUAUGAGAUAUUUAUAAUUCGUAUACUUAUAUUUUAAACAGUGCGUUUAUUAAGAAGUUACAUACGUCACUAAACCAUAUGUUUCCAUUUUGUCACCUAUCACCUUUGCUAUUACAAUUAAAUCUUCGGGAUACCUGGACCUAAACAUGGCAAUGCUUUUCAUUUUUGGAUAAUGUAGAAAGAAUAAAAAUGAAUGAAAACAUGAUACAUGUGCAUGCGCAUUAAAAUGUCAUUGAUUUCUCUACGUUCAUCCUGAGAAAAACCCCAUUGUUAGCGGUUGUUGUCUCUCUUUUAUAUUUAAAUUUAAAGUCAUGAUUUUGUUUUAUGUUAACAAUGUCUUAUUGCUAGUUCUUCUUUCUCGUGGAAUUCAUAGUCUUGAAAAGUGAAGAGAUGCCUUCCAUUUCAUUUUAUCGUUAUCUCAUUCUUCCCCAAAGGACGACGAGUUUGAGCUUAUCAGCCACAGGAAUCUUGGCUAACUCACCACUAAACUUUGUUGUUCUACAUAAAAUGCAGUUUAUUCAUUAUUUUGGUACUGUUUUGCAGGUUACUUGCAAUCUUUUGCGUCAUCAAUAUGUUAAACUAUAUUGAUCGGGGUACUAUUGCAAGCAAUGGAGUAAAUGGGAGUGCCAGAACAUGUAGCGAGAGUGGGAUAUGUACUGCGGGUAGUGGAAUACAGUAUGUAUUAUUGUGCUCUUCCUUAAGUCGUUAUAUUAUACUUGCAUAUAUUGUUUCAGAUAAGUUUCCAUGUUUCUUUGAUUGGUUUAUCAUUGGUUCCUUAUUUUGUAUGCAGUCCAAUGCUAACCUAAAAAUGAUUUGGUAAGAUGUAACCUGUUGGGUCAUGGGUGUCUGGUGGUUGGUUUGCAAUGGGAUUGAGAAUUAGGAUCCAUCUCCCUUGAUCUGCAGGUAUCUUGGCCUGGACUACCAGAUAUUUCCGCAUAUCACCUGUAGGAGAUCCUUGAAGUUGAAAUUGUUCUCCUCUUUUCCUCAUUAGUUUUUUUCCCCUUUCUUGGUACAAUAAGGAUCAUAAAGGCUAGUUAAUUGUAAAACACAUAACUUUGUAUUUUCCUUAGUAAAUUUUGGUCUUUGAGAAUCACUAUAGUUCCCGUUUCCUUUCCAUCGUGGCACUUAUAGGAGAUUAUUUAUGUCAAACUAGUGCUUAUUUCUUCCCUUAUUUGGCCUCUCCCGGCCCUGAUCAUUGUAGUCCCCAUUUUGAUGAAAUAUGAUGGCAUCAAAAAGUUUGGUUAUUAUUCUCUUUUGGAGGAUCUAUGCAAUGGAUAAGUAGAAACUGAGAUGUAAAGAAACACAAUUUCUUCUUGAUUUCACAUAAAGAAUAUUUGACGCCAUAUGUUUCUGUUCCAUAUGCUUCAUGAUGAUUUUUGACACAACAGGUUGUGAAAAAUAGAAAAUCCAGCCUUGAAUCCACAAUGCACGAAUUUUAAAUGAACAAACCAAGAUCUGAAUCCACAUAGAAAUUUCAUUCCUUGAAUCUUCUAGGACUUGUUGGGAUGACCCUUAAAUCCACAAGGGUCAAAUAUUCCUUUGAAUCCGAAAGGGAGGCGCUUGAACACAUAAGCAAAGAGAGAGGAACCUCAAACAGGUAAAGCCUCGUACUAACCAAGAAUGAGGGGAGGGUUACAACGUGGGGGCCUUUAAAUAGUCCUAAGUUCGGUUGUGACGCUCCUAAAAAAGCGGAUCAGUUAUAAUAGUACUUCAAAACAGAUUCAAAGCAUUGUAAAGAAAAUUCAGAAAUACAUGAAAAGUGGUAAAAAUUAACACCACUAGUCUUUGACGUGUUUCUCAUGUGUUUCGUAUGGGUCUAAUCUUAUUUGGGUCUAUAUUAUCCUUGUAACCCAUCCUUCAAGCUUCCAAAAGGCCUGGCCCACCGGUUUGGGCCACCUAGGUCAAAAAAAUUUUGCCCUUCUCUUUGUUUUGAAGUGAUAUCCAACAUCAAUUUUUCAUUAUCCGUCUAGCAUGCUGCUUUGACUUGAUGACAUAUUUUUUCAUCUUCAUAGCUGUUUACAGGUGUACAAAACGGACAAAUUUAUACCUUAAUAAAACGGAUGAGCACUUUGUCCAGAGCAUAUUCUAUAGUUUCAAUGAAAUAAUGGCUCUUGCUUUUCAGAUAGAGGAAAUCUAUUUUUAUCAUAAAACGUUAGUGCUGAAAGUUUGAUCUUUUCUCAUUCACUUGUUUCUUUCUAAAAUAUUUGGUUGAAAACUUUUGUUUGAAUGUAGAAGACUAAAUAGAAGUUAAAUUCUUGAUUGACUGCUUAGUUAUGUGUUAAAUGAGUGCAGGGGAGACUUCGACUUGAAUUACUUUGAAGAUGGUAUUCUCUCAUCUGCAUUCAUGGUUGGACUUCUGGUUGCUUCUCCAAUAUUUGCUUCCUUGGCAAAAAGGUUUUUUUCUUUAGUGAUGUAUUUAAUUCUGUUUUGCAAGUUUAUGGAGAUAAAAGGCCAUGGAUAUUGUUUUGUCAACAAUUACAAAAGAUCUGUGAUGUUAUUUUUUUCCAACUCUUAGGUUAAUGAAGGCGGAUUUUAGUUUCCGCACAAAAAGUUGAAAUCUACUUAGGGAUUUGUUCGUAUUGGUGUCAACGUGGAAAAGAAAAGGGAGGUGGGAUAACAUGAUGCUUUCUUUCUAUACUUUAUUCCUUUCCAAUUCCCUAAGGUGAUAAGGCACCGUGGAAGGUCGAAGAAGGUCAUUGACAGCCUGCAAUGGCUUUUUUCUUUGAAGUUUCCCUUGGAAAUAUUCCUUCAGAAAUUGGUCAUAAGAGUUUUAACGGAUAGUCUGUGUUGCCUUUAUGUGGACCCAGGAAUUGACCUUUACCUUGAGGGUUAAUAUGGCAGUUCUCUGAGUACGUCAAGUAUUCAUUUAAUCAUCCUUGAAUUAUGGGUGUUUCAGUGACAUUUUGGAGUUGGAUCCUGACACUUAAGUGAUUAUAAAAUGUUUAGACGAUGCUUUUGGCACGCUGCUGUGUGUGCCUCACGUGAAGAGCAUUUAGAAGAGUUUUGCUUUCAUUCGUUAUGUAAAAAUAGUACUAAAGAUCUUUAAAAAGGAAUGAGAAGGAAUAGCAUGUAAGUAAUGGUAAACAUAUGCAGCUGAAACAGUCAAUCAUUGGGAAAGUCGAUGUCUAAUGCAUGUAUGCACCUUGUGUCAUAAAAUUUGGACAUAUUUAUCAUAUCAUUUGUGCAUUUUCUCUGCAGCCAUAACCCGUUUAGGCUUAUUGGAGUUGGACUAUCAGUCUGGACUCUUGCUGCUGCGGGCUGUGGCUGUUCUUUUGGGUUUUGGUCCAUUACAAUUUGCCGAAUGUAAGUAACACAUACCAUUACCAUGUAAAAUUUAAUCCCUGAAUAAUCACGGUAGGCAUCAAACUUAAGCUCUAUCUUUCUAGGCUCGUGGGUGUUGGUGAAGCUUCCUUCAUAAGUCUUGCAGCUCCAUUUAUUGAUGAUAAUGCCCCUGCUUCUCAGGUUUGUUUUUUGGCUCGUUUCAUAUGCCAGCUUAUUUUUGUUCAUCCUUAAUUCGCUUUGAAGAAUCAUUUAGUAUCUUAGUUUAGAUAUUUGGCAUUUACAUCUCCUUGCAUACUGGCUACAUUUCAAUGAGAGAAAUUUCGGGCAUUAACACUUUGAAGGUUACAUUGUACAUAAUCCGGUAGGCUUUCAUCUUGCUCUAAAAUGAUUUUUAUUUUUUAUUUGGGAAAGUAUUCAAUUAGAAAUCUAUUCCAUUCUUUCAGCGAGAGAAUUCUUUGUAGUGUCCAGGCUAGAAUCUAUAAACAUCUCCACGCUGUUGAGCAUCUGCAAUAAGUACCCAGUAGUUUUGGUGACGCUGCGUACCCCUGAGUUUCUUUUUUAUUUAAUUUAUUGUCUGACUCUUAUGUUGCCUGAAGAACUUGUUUCAGAGACUUUUUUCAUUCGUCAUCUGCUGUACCAAGUUUGUCAGUCUGCUGUUUACCGGUUAUAAAUGCUGUGGAAGAUGUGAAUUCCUCUAGGCCUAACUGACUGAUUCUAGUUCUUGUUUAUAGCAUAUUUAUUAAAAUAUUCUGGUCUCUCCGUUCUUAACACAUAUAUCACCUACCGGGAUCACCUUGUUUUGCCUUGCGUUUGAGGAGUCAGGGGAAUUUGUUUUGUCAUAUUACCCAUUGAUUUAAUUUUUGUUGACAGAAAACAGCAUGGCUUUCGAUCUUCUACAUGUGCAUACCUGUCGGGAUUGCAUUUGGCUAUGUCUAUGGAGGACUGGUAACAUUUAUUACUAUAGAUUUCCUCACUAUGUAGAACUUUCUAUCUUUGGAUAAAGUCUGAAUGAAAAUUGUUUUUAAUUCCAUAAUCUGUGUUUUUUGUUUUCUUUUUUUCCUUGCAUUUCGCAGUCAUCCUAUUCUCUGAUGAAAAUAAAGUUCUCUUGCGAAAAAAGUGUUGCAGUGGUCUAUCCUUUUCCUAUAGCUGAUUCAUUCUCCCUUUGUCAUUUAGACUCAUGGUGAUCAGUAUGCCUCUGUAGGUAGAAAAUGGAAAUGUUGUUCUGACGAUAAAUUUUUUAUGAAGAUUCUGUUUCACAUUAAUUUUAAUCUAGAAAUAUUUUUCUUGGCUCUAUCAGUUUUUUUAGGUGGUAGACACUCAUUUGUUGGCUACAGGUGAUAAAGGCUCAUAUUUAUAAUUUUGGCCGAUUCAGCCUUAUCCUACUAAACACCAGGCCUCUCCUUACACAAUUUCUCUAGGAAUAUGGUUCCUAGCUUGGCACCGUAUAUUAUCAAUACAAAAGAUAGUUAAAAACAGUAUUCUAUGCUAUGGCUGUUGUUUCCCCACGCUUACCCGGAAACAUAAGUCUGUAGAUCCGCCUCUGCUAGGCCUAAAAAGAAAAUCAAUCGGUUCUACCCUUCCCAAAAAUAGAAGAUCCCUUCAGUAUUCUGAAUAGGGUCGACGCCCCACAAUGGAUGUAGUCUUCAUUCUUCUGACCAGCUUUGAAGUUUUCUCAAACGUGGAGAGUUCCUAUGCCUAGUACUUGUUCUCCAGUAGUUUGACCAAUUUAUUUUUCUGCUCUCGCUCAACCUUGCAUUUGCACUACAUUUUUUUGUGUGCUCAAGCAAAAAUAAAGUUAUAUCGCUUGUUUUUUCGUACGUCCUGAUAUUACUUAACCAUCAUUUCAAUUUUAUGUUUCAUGCUGUGCCGUAACCUACCGUGAACUACACACAAAUGCAUGUGAUUUGUUUUUCAGGAUCAGAUGUUUGGGAUAAAUUAUCUUUUUGAUGAUGAACAUAGUGAUACGUAAAUGUAUCUGAACUAGACCAGAUCAUGCAUGAAUUAUUGCUUCAUAUGGAUUUUCACCAGGUUUCUUUAAAUGUGUUCUUCAUAUAAAAUAUCAGGUUGGAACAUACUUGAACUGGCGCGUUGCAUUCUGGGGAGAAGCAAUUUUGAUGCUUCCAUUUGCGAUUUUAGGCUUCGUUAUACAGCCAUUGCAGCUCAAAGGUACUCUGUCUACACAUUCUUAAAUGGAUAGCAGCACUAUUGAUUAGUAAUACAUCUCCCUCAAUCUUUAAGUGGGAUGUAUGUGCGGAUUCCCAUGCAUUCAAAAGUUGCAUAAAAAGUUAUAAAAUGUACUAUAUGCCAAGUUUUUCGAAGUUAUUAUUUAGAAGUCUAUUGUUCUUUCCUCCUCACUUGACUGAUUAUCCCUAGUGACAAAUAAAGAAUCAGCCAUCAGGAUUUGUCUCAGUACCCAUCUUAAAUUCCGACCGCUCAGCAUAUUAUUGAGAUUUCACGGCUUCCUCCUCACUAUUUGCAACUGCAUGAUCAUUUCCUCUCAACUGUGUGAAGGGGCAGUUGAAACAAGUCUUUCCAUGGUUUAAUUAGUAGUCAUGACUCCUUCAAUACGGGGGUAGUAAUCUUAUGUUGUCAAUUUCAUGUGUGCACUUCCAAAUGAGAAAUAUCAUCCCAGUACUGAACUCGGUGCCAGAAAGCGUCCAUUAUGGAAAAUCUAACCCUCCCUUUCGAUCUGUUGUAAAGUGGCAUGGCGUUCUUUUCCGAUGUUAAUAUUGACUCCUUUUUUUUUUUAAGCUAUAGAAAUUACUGUAGCCUUAUGAAAUCUCAAAUCUGCUCAAUCUACCUACUGUGGAGGUUGCUUCCAAAUGUGAGCUCCCUAAUUCCCUGACUUGGCUGGGUUCAUUGCGACGGAUCUAAUGUGAUACUGUCGACUUAUGGGAGUGCAUCUCCCAGGGUCUUUCCAUAACUGCCAUUAUCCUGUGACAUCUGACCUUCAUCCAUUUCCUACAUUUCGGAGAGAUACUUGAUGCUGCCUACAUGUAAGAGAUGCUCGUGACUUCUGUUCUAACUCUGUUAAUACCUAUCUAUUCUCCUAAAACAUAGUUUCACAAUUCCUUAGCUAAAGCGGCUAGGAAAUGUCAAAUUGAAAUCUUUUUAAUUUUUUGAGCACCAAAUCCCUGUUCUCCUUUGAUUAUUCCUCAACGGGCAUUGUGUGACCAUGCGUUCCUUCUAUUCCCGUGACUUAAGAAUCUUAUCUUAAGUAGACUCUGGCUUCCAGACGCAUGCAUUUCUAUUGCAUUUAUAUUUAGAAUUUUUUUAUUACCCAUGCAGAAGUGUAUUCUUAAUGCUCGUGGAUUUUUAUUCAUAAAUUUAUGUAAAUUACUUGAUGUUUGGUUAUUCAGGUUUCACUUCCCCUGACACGAAAAGGUAUUGUUCUUUGAAAAAAGAGAUUAUUCCAGAAGUUCAAUUCACGUCAGGUGGGUUUCUGUUGACAUCAACUAUCAAUGAUAUUUUGUUAAUAUCCAAGGUGCUUGGAUAAGGAUUAUCUCCAUAUCAUACAACAUGAAUCAAUAUAUUGUUAUAUUAACUUCACUGCUUCUUUUUAAAGUUUCGAUGGUUCUAAACAAGUAUAGGAUACAUGGGGGGGGGGGGGGUUGAAUAGCUUAAGUCAACCAUUGGUGCCAGGGGAAAAAUUUUCGUUAGAGUACCCAUUACAUAUGACAUGAUAAAUUCUUCGAGAGAUUUAGCCAGUCCAUGAUCUACUCUCUACCCCUUAAAUUUUUCUUUGGGUAUUCUUGGGUACUUACAAUGUUCCACCGCAACCUUUUUCCGCUUACAAGCUUUACUCAAUAGAUAUCUUGUUUAAUUGCCGGUGGAAUGUAAAUAAACGCUUACAACAUUUUUAGAACUGCUGUAGUAUGCAUAUGGAGCGGUGGGGAUGCAACUCUAAAUGAUGGAAAACGUGAAUAACCAUGAUAUAUUUUAAAUGAUUUACUUCUGGGGGUUGGAAUUUGUUUGCAGAUGAAACUUAUAAGUCUCCCUCCUAUUUUGAUCUUUUAUAGUUUCAGAUCUUCAGUUUUAUGUAGAAAAAAGUAAUUUUCUAAAUUUAUAAAACAGUGUUUUUAAUUUUAAUGUUUUGUACAAAAGUAGGCACAUCAAAACUGCAAGAUUUUGCGCUUUAUAUGGUGUCAGAAUUUCAAUGUGAUAUUUUCUCACGUAUCAAUACGUGUUAGUGGGCUUCAGAUAGUAGCAACAACAAUCAGCAAUCUGGUAGUAAUACCAUCAUCUAUGGCAUUUGAACGUAGCAUGGGCCUUCUUCUGGAGAUAAGAAAACCAUUGGGAUAUCAUUAAUGGGCAAGUGAUAUCACGAAUAAAGACAGUGAAUGAUAAUGAUAAGAUUUCGCUAAAUGGCUUUUCAUGCUUAGAAUAUCCCCUAAAAGUUUCAUUUUUUAUUUUGAAAAUGAGAGAAUUCACGGCUAAUUCCUUUGACGUAUGUCAUUAUUAAUGGAGUUAUUCCCAUACAAUCUGAUACGUAUUUUCAAGUGUUCAUUAAUCUGAAUUGAAAUAAGCCACCUAAUAUUAGCGGGUGCCCUUUCCAGGUCCUUUUUUUUUUUAUCAAUGGUACAAAAUAAUAAUAUGAAUGUACUUUCUGCCAAGUAAUCACUAAUCUGAAUUUUGAUAACCCACCUACAAUUGCUUCGUUUAAAUGCUCUGCAAUAAUAAUAAUAAUAACCUCAAUGGAUAUGCUGCAACAUUCUGACCAUUCUGUGAACUGAUCCUUCUGAGGAGCUGCUACAUUCCCAAAUAUAGACAAUCAAGCAUUCCAUUGUCAUCAUUUCAUUUGGUAUGCUAAUUCCCGUCCUAUUGAAGCUCACGCUAGGGCUCAGGACAGGGCUCAGGGCACAUCUCUGAGGCCAGCCACUAGCCAAACCCUAAUAGGCUCUAGAAGGCUCAUCCCGCCCUAGGAGGAUAUGUUUGGGGUGUAGAGAUGGCAUGCGAAUGUGAUGAAGGUGAGUUACGGUGGUGGUGGUUGGGUUUGGCUUGGAAUAUCUUGCGGUUGUUAAAAGAUGAAAAACUAACAGUGCUAAUGUGUUCUUGUAGAGGAGAAGGGUGGAGUUCCAUGGGGUUAAGGUAGAAGAAUAAAACCGUGAGAAAACUUGGGAAGUGUUUUGGGCAGCAGAAAAGGGGAUGUUGUGUUGUUUGCAACAUGGUCAGGAUGUGCAUAUAAUGUGCCAACGUAUUACAUGAAUAAUAUAACGGCCAGGAUCUGUUGCAUCUCUAAGCCUAUCAUCCCUGUUGAAAGUGGUCUGUCUUUUCGCAUAAAUGUGACAUUGACGGUCCUAGAAUCAAUUUGUAACCAUAAAAUUUCACCCAUCAUGUUUUGGUUUCAGGUGAGUCUCCCAGGGAUGAAGAAUCGAUUGAUGGAGAGACUAUGAAGUCGACCUCGUAUGUCUAGCCCAACCCUUUGCUGCCGAGGUUUUGAAUAUAUAUAUACUAUAAUUUAUUAACAUGAGUGUCAUUAAAAAAAGGAGGACGGUUUCGCUACUAGCUUUUAGGUUUUGGCUAUUUCUUGGUGCACUGUCAUCUGCAGAUUUUUAGCUGUAAUUUUAUAUCUCCUUGCCUUGCUAUUUUCGUCAGGAUGUGUCUAGUACACCUCACGUGUCCCUCCUUAUAUACCUCGUGUCUUUUCUUAUAACUACAUGUAUGUGUGUCUAAAACUUUCUGAGGGAUCUGAUAUAAAUAUCAAACCUCCUUUCCGUUUGUAAAGGUGAUUUCUGACGAAUAAGAGAAUCAUUUUCUUUCCUUCUAUGUGCGUGUGUUACCAUACAGCGCACGGAACUUGAUUCAAGCUUGUACAGUUAUUACCUUUACUUCUACUCUUUAGACACUCGUGCUUAAUCUUAUUUACCGUUGAAAAACAAUUUCUUUCAGUUUGUUAAUUUGUAUAAUAGCUAACAUUUCUUUACCAAAAAUUAACGAGAAUACUAAUCGAGGUAUCAAUCUUUCUUAUCAGGAUAUUCAUCUUGAAUUUUUUUCUUUUAUCCAUUCAGUUUUUUCUUUGAAUUCAGAAGAGCACAAUUUUAACACCUGAUCAGCUUCCAUGCGAUUUGUUGCAUUCUUUGACAAAGUUUUCCACGUACAUUUUUGUCCUUUUUUUAUUGGGUUGUUGGGGGGGAGGUCGAUGUUGAUGGGGUUAUAAAUCAGUGACAGAGGUGAGACCAAAAAGUUGAGAAUGAUUACUUUAUUGAGAAUCUUUUUUUCUUUAUUUGUCUUAAGCACUAUAUUGCAUUUUUAAUGUUUAGCGUCUCUAUUUGCUUUAAAAAUAGAAUUCUGAUCUUCUCAUAAUGAUUAUGUGUGAUUCAUUUUGUUAAUGCAAGCUAUUUAAUAUGCGCGGUUUUACUGUGGCAGACCUAAAAGUUCUUUGAACAUUCUGAGUCAACUUGCACUGUUGUGGAAAGAUUUGAAAGUUCUCUUGCGUGAUAAGGUUUACGUCACCAAUGUAUUGGGUAAGCGUUUAGACUAUCUCUUUAUACGGCUGAUAAUCUUUGAUGAACCUCCAUUUUAUGUCCUCCGUACAAAAGGUACCAAAGCACUUCAUGUUCUUCAAAAGUCUUGUACAUGUAUCUAUAUCACUCGCAAUGUUUUAAAUGGAUGGCCAUUUUUAUGGAUGUUCUCUAUAAGUAUUAGGUCCACAGUUUCUUGAAGGAAAUUUUAUUCUUUGGGAGAUUUCUUUUUACUUGUAUUAUAUAUAUAUAUAUAUGUUGGCUAUGCAAACACUUGUUAAGUAAUUUGGGAUCGAUAUUUAUUUAACUCACUGUUUUUCUCAGGUUACGUGGCUUACAAUUUUGUUAUUGGUGCCUAUUCGUAUUGGGGUCCAAAAGCUGGCUACGCAAUUUACAAUAUGGUAAUGCAUUGGAUGAGCAAGGAGGGCUCUAUUUAAUUUUCUUUUACAUAUUUCAUGAGAUUUUUUGAACGGUACAUUUAUAAUAGGGCAUCCUUCAUUUUAUUAUCCGAUCUUUCCAUUCACGAUUUUUUGUUUGAACAAAAAUGAAACGCUACAAUGCGUAUCUUCACUUGCAAGCCAACUUUGGGGCCUUGUAACAGUGAGAACAAAAAGGGAACCAAUAAACAACUUAAAACCAAAUGACAAUUAGUAAUGCAAGACUCAUAUAUACACUUUUUGCAUUAAUCAAUAUGAUAUUAUUUCAAUGUUCUCAUAUGUUUAUCUUUCCCAGGAAAAUGCAGAUUUGUUAUUUGGAGGAAUAACAAUAGUAUGUGGGAUCUUUGGGACACUGGCCGGUGGUUUUAUUCUUGAUGUCAUGGACGCUACCAUAUCCAACGCUUUUAAGGUAAACCUUAGAUAUACAGGCGGAUAUUCUUGUUUGUCAGGAUUUAUGAUGUUGAUCACCUACAGCUGGUACAGGAUAAAUCUUUUUCGUUGUUUUUUGUUUAUGUCUUUGAAAACGAUUAUUGAAACGGUUCUUUGAACUUUCUUUUUCCAUUGCAGCUACUUUCUGGAACCACUUUUAUUGGGGCCGUAUUCUGUUUUGGUGCUUUUUGUUCAAGGAGUCUUUAUGGCUUCAUACCACUAUUUGCAGUUGGGGAGCUGCUAGUUUUCGCAACACAGGUACUGAUUCCAUAUUUUGAUAUCAAUUUCUUCACACGACGCGUUGUUGUGGUCUCCCUCUGUUGUGACAGUUUUCCCUUUUUAAUUUAUUACAUAAGAUUAGAUCUAAGGUUUGUGCCUUUUAUGACCUAUCAGUCUCUUGUUUUUGAGGAUAGAAUAGACCUGAUUGUGAAGUUCCUGAAUUAGAAUAUUUGGUUUCUUGCCUUACUUUUUCCUGGAUUUAACUAUUUUUUUUUCAUCAUUCGCUUUUCAGGGCCCUGUGAAUUAUGUUUGUCUUCAUUGUGUCAAGCCUAGCUUGAGACCACUAUCAAUGGCCAUAUCUACUGUUUCCAUCCACAUAUUUGGUGAUGUACCAUCUUCACCUUUAGUUGGGAUUCUCCAGGUUUGUCCUAUGGCUUCACAGUUAAUGUGCUUAUUUAUUUGAUGGUUUCUUCUCCUGAUGCAAGAUUAUACAUUUGACUCGUGAGCACUCCUAUGGAAUUUUAUUAAACAAAUACGAUCAUGUUCAACAUAUUACAGGAGCAUUAGGUUCACAUUAGAAAUGGGUCCCUUAGAAGAUCUUUCGAUUGUUUGGAAAAAGCCUAAAAAAAUAAGAAUUCAAAUUAGUAAAUGAUGCAAAAUCCUCUUUCUAGUUGUUGAAUAUUUCUAAGUGUUUAAAAGCUAACGAAGAUCAGAGCGUAACGUGAAAUGUUAUUGGUAUAGCCAUAAUUUUUUAAUACCAGUACAAGAGGGAAAAAUUGGUUACAAUGGAUUUCUUAACAUUUUUAGAUGCAAAUGACAUGCGGAGAGGCAGGCAGAGAAUCGAGUAGACAGUUGAGGAGGAGAAAGGGGUUUUAUUCCGUUGUUGGUGACCAGUAAAGAAAAAAAAAAGGGCAGGAAUCGCAAUAGAGGCCAGACGAUGCCAGAGAAAUAUUUUGUCCCUUGUGUUUGUAACUUCCAAGGUGCUUUAGAGUUUGAAAAGGAGAGCCCACAUGACCUGAAAAGAGCUGAAAAUGGGAUCAUCUGCGCCGUCAAAGGAUGUGCAAAGCCGCCUAACCGAGGGGAUAGUGAAGAAUAUCUCGCAUAGUGGUUAUUCUAGAUGAGGAUAAAAAAGGGGAACGGAGAAGAAGUUCAAUAUUGUGAGCAUGUGGCUAUUUUUUAAACAAGGGGAGUGAGAACCAUACUAAGGCAGAUAAAAUCAGUCCAGGGCGUAGAAUAAUGUACAAAGUGCUUCUUUAUGUGGAGUCUUUCUGCUCUUACUUUGUGAUUUUUGGAAAAAAACGGAGCACCUCCGUGCCAAGGUCCUGUUGAUAUAUGAGCUUGGACAAUGCUUUGGAGUGAGUACCGAGGGACAAAAGAACACAUGCAUGAAUUCUCUAAAUUUCUGUAGUGAGAUAGUGUUGGAAUUAUAGCCAUAGCUGCCAUGCAUAGAGCCAAGGAUUAUAAUUCAGAUGACAAAAAAAAUUCUCUAGAAAAAAAGAUAAAUGCUUUUUCUUUCAGGGGAUCUUGUUGUGGCCUCUUAUCUUAAAGAUAUCCUCGAAGUGUUUGAAGUCAGCCAAUGUUCUGAGAACUGACAUCCAAUGAGGAAUUCCAGAAUGAUUAAACUUUAAACGGCUACAGGUCUCUUCUGUGGAUUAAAACGUCCCAAUGUCUGUGUCCGUGGAAGUUACUCUUAAUGCGGGACGCAUACUUUUCCUAGUAUCUACGAUUUUUCCCUACAUAUGCUUAAUAAAACGGCCAAGAGUCGCUGCACAUGUCUGAUUGACUAAACCAUUUGUUUUUCUUAGAUUUUAACUUGAAGCGCCUCUUAAUGGGUUAGACUAUCCACCAUAGAAAUCGAAUUAAUGGAAAGUCUAUGAUUAGGGCGUUUGCUAACUAAAUCAAAUCUCCGUUUCCUUAAGCAUUUAGUAGACUCCAUCGACUGAUUGUCUCCUCGAAUUAUAAGUUGAGUAUAAAGGAGCUUUAAGGUGGAACUGUGCUUACAAGAAGCAAAAUGCUGAAGAGUUGUUCCUUUAGAUGGUUUAGGAAUUUGUGGUUAAACUUUUAUGUUGGGUGGCCAUUCAAAGGACGUGAAAUAAAAAGUUGUAGAGCAUGCUUUUGUAUAAUCUCAAUGGACUUCGUGAAUUAAUGCAAUGGUAACGUGGUCCCUGAUCCAUUCAAAUAGAAUAAUAACGGUGAAAAUUAGGAUUUUUUGCAGUGUUUUGGGCCGCCUGGAUUGAGUGAAACAGGAAAAGAUUUCCGUAGACUUUAGCAGAUUAGCAGAGAAGCAGAGUCAUCCUCAUCCAUUUAAGAACGUUCAUUUCCUGCUGGUUUUGAAAAAUCAGCAGGAACUGCUAAUGCCUGCUAACUCGCAUGUUCCCACUUUUUCUUCAUUCUUACAUUUCUGUUCUAAAUACUUGCUAAACCAGAAGUUAAGGUAUUUAUUUCAAAUUUUGGAACUGGUGCUGGUAAUUUUGAUGUUUCCACUGGUGCUAAAGAAUCUUGUUUUUUUUUACCUUAUCUAUAAUGAAAUAUCAGGGAAAAUAAUAGGGGGUGGGGGCGCCAAGAUGCGGAUAAGAAAAGAAAUCGGUGAAAUGCAAAUGUCAAUAAAAACCAACAUAAUGUAGAAAUACGGAGUAAAUCUACUUACGCUCCUGUCUAUGCAGAUGCAAAGGGAGCCAGUGAAGAUUUUAUCAAAGGAGCUAACUCGCAUUGACUGAUGGAAUGCCAUCUAAUUUAUUGAUGUCUUUCUUGGAACCACUAACAGAUCGAUGUAUUUGUACCAGAAAAUUGUUGAUUCUUGCUUCAAGCGUUGACAUGCUCGUUUAAUCGAUCCUUUCAACUUCAGGACUAUGUUAACGACUGGAGGGUGAGCGCUCAAGUUCUGACAUCCAUUCUGUUCAUCGCAGCUGGGAUCUGGUUUAUAGGUAUGCUUCGUUUGUCAGUUCCAUGCAGUGCAGCAUCUUUUCUUGAAAGAUCAAAAGUUUCCUUUUCUGCAACGUUUCCGCUGAGUUCAGUCCACUAUGGUAUAAAACCCCUGUUCUUGCCAAAAUGCCUUCAGAUAUUAUUAAAAUGGGGAAAAAAUGGAAUUUUCCUUUUCCUUGUUCAUCAUUAGAAUAGGGAAGCCAAAAAUCAACAGAAAUGCCCAUUCACAGUUAAUUUGCUUUGUGAACGAGACUGAUCAUGAAGAACCUCUUCCCACAUUUGGCAGGCGUCUUUCUUCGAAGUACAGAUAGGUCCAAUGAAGUGAGUGCACAUGGCGCCCCAGCUGCCGACAGAUCGCCAUUGCUUGAUGGAAGCCCUCUGGAAACAACAGAGUCUGCUUGAUAUGGUUUCCAUUUAAGGGCCUGCAUCCUGCAAUGAGAUCUGCACCGUCCAAUAAGAGGAUCAGACGGCCCGUCAGGUGAUUGGAAGCUACUUUGAUCUCAUUCUGACUGGCAGAAGGCUCGCGUUUGCGUUGACACAGACCAAAACGGAGCAUCCUCAAGCUCCCCCACCUGGGUUUCCAUUGCUUCUUACAACGGAGUUUGGAGCAAGGAAAAAAAAAAAAGAAAAAAAACUUGUCCAUCUCCACUGUACAUGUUAUCUUUUCUUGGUUUAAACCGUAAACCUGCGUCUGUCUGUGUAUUUAUUACAGUAAUUUCUGGUGCAUGAUCAAGUGAACAAUAUUGGAUGAGAUUUUCUGGUCUGGGCAAACCCAUUUGGGGAUUGGAUGCAUCACACGUUUAGAGAACCCAUGGAGUCAUUUCAAAAGAAAAUAUAUCUGUAAAUGGAAACUUUGUCAACCGCUUGGAAUGGGGCGAUUACAGGAAAAAUGGUAGAACAAUGCAUGUUUUUAUUCAGUGGACUGAGAGCUGGAGAAGGGUCGCCUGACAAGUCAACUCAACUAAUUUGUCAAGCCAAGGAUAGUUCGCCCGCAGGAACGGAUCUUCUGACCAAUUUUGCCCACGACUCGUUUGUUUCAGCGAUAACCUUCAGAGCGUAUUCCUGUUUCCCCAAGAAAAAACGGAAGAAAAAAACGAUUAAAAUUUUAAUUAGAUGCAAGAGAGGCAGGAACAGGCAAGCAAGUUGAGUAUAAAUAAUAUUUAAAAAGCUAAUAAAUCUGAUUAGGCUGGCAAAACCUGUGCGCUGGAAACGAUUGAUGGGUUUAAUUAUACAGAACAGAAGGCCCUGUUUACUAGAUUUAAUUAAAUGCCGGAUCAGUAAGGCAGUAACGGUGGUGGGGAGUGUGGAACAGAGAGGGCUUAUUCAUGGAUCUUCGUAUGGUUGGAGUCUUUGAAAAGUCAACGCCGCCUAAAGGAACACCAUGAAAAAUACAAUGUGGAUGGUCUCUCCGGAAAGCUUAUUAAUCACAUACAUGUAGAUGGGUCGCUCCUUUUAAAUAAAUGGAUGUAUGAUGAAAUCCUCUUUUCAUAAACAUGAAUUUGAUUAUGGACCAAUCAAAGCCUGAUCUUUCCUUAAUUGUGCUUGUUUUGGCCCAGUCAGAAUUGAAGUUGACCGAAAUACUCUAAAAAGGAAAGGGUCAAACAGUGUGCACAUCACCCACUUCUUCCAUCAUUUGGAUAUAAUGGGUCUUCAAAAUCACCAGUUUGAGCACUGCAGUUUGGCAUAUAUUUUCUACCAAAAAUGUCAUAUUCUAAAGAGAGUAAAUGCCACUUGACCUUCAAAUGACAAGUAGAGCAGUGACAUGCACAUUCAAGCAUCUGUAUCCAUUGAACAAGUAUUCAAAAGCCUUGUACAGACAGAGGUGCAAAGAAGGACCAUGCUUGAUAGAGGUGCUUGCUUUGUAAGGAAAGUAUGAAGCAGGCAUAGAGCAACUUGAUAAAUUUGGGAGAAACCAAUUGGGUAAAAAAAUGGUACCUUGCUGGCUGGCUUAUUGCCCAGGCCAAAGUUAUUGGCAGGCUUUCCAUCUGGGAUCUUGUAGUCUCUAAACCAAUCCCUUAUGGCAGUGAGAGUCCCCUAAAUGAUCAGUAAAAUAAUGCAAUUAAUUAAACCAAGAAGCUUCUGAGAGAAUUAAAAAAACUUGGCAUCACCAUCUAUGCAAGAAACAGGCAAGUAAACGGCACUCUACCUCACAAUUUCCAUACUCGUAAUUAUGGUCGACAAACAGCUAAUUAGAAAACUGGUUCCAACCCAAAUAUGAGCCAGAAAAAUAGAGCAAACCAUCAUAAACUAGAGGUUCUAAAAUCAGUGAAGGGGCAUGAUUCAAUCAGUCAAUUUACAGGACGCCCCAUUAAUCGAGGACCAGCUUGGAGUGAGGAAUGAAAUUCCAUAGUUGAGUUGUAUAUAUAAAACCAAAGCAAUAUUAUUGAGGGUAGAUCAUUCAGAAGCUACUCUGGUGACAUGAGCAUGAGAUAAAAAUAAAAUAAAAAUGACCCUAGUUACAAGAAAUGAUCCUCGAAGUAGAGUAUGUAGCUAGACACUCCAUAAGCUUGGAGUAUACACCAAACACAAGUGGAAGCUUGUAGCUGAUGCAACUCAGUAUUAUUUUCCACAUGAAAUAAAUGAAUAGCAUGACAUUAUUAGCGCAAACAUCAUGAUGACAACAUAAAAUAAAUCCAUGGAUGGGGUAAUCAUCUAAUCCUGGCAAGGAAGAUGUAGACGCCCACUGGAAUUAUAUUUCCAAAAUAAGGGCCUUUCACUUCAGGUAGGUGGACUUAAAAGAUUAAUACAGUUUCUUAGAAUAUCAUGUAAAAAGGACAUUAGGCAGUGGAAAUGGAAAUGUUAUACUUUAAGCCAUGUAAUGGUUAAGAAUUCAAAUUGUACCGGAAAAUGCUUUUCAACAUCAUCGACAUCGUUGACGAGUGAAGCCCGUGGGUCAUCCAAGGAAAUAGCAACUAUCUUCCAAUCAAGCUCCCCUUCGUCAAUCAUUGCCAAGGCUGCCAAAGGUUUGACCUUGAGAAUCUGACCGAUCUUCCCCCGAGCAUCACCAAUCUCCACAACAUCAACUAGGAGCAGAAAGGAGAGAGCAACCAGAAGAACAUCAGAGACUAUAAAUAUUUUCAUUCAUCUGUCGGAGCAAAAGAAAAACAGGAAGACCCAUAAGCUACCUGGAUCAUUAUCUCCAAAGGCCCCGUCAACUUCUUCAUUUGAAAAGGAUGGAUCUUCCCAAGUUUGAGGAAGCAACCCAUAAUUCCAAUUUAUGUUGUACCUGUUAGUAUAAUGAAGAUAAUUUAUAAUUAAAUCCACAACAUCCGACGGAAAGAUGUUCCAAGAAAAUCACGACAGACUUAUUAUUGAGAUAUUUCCAAAAACACACACCAAGUAUGUGGACACAUGGUAGAUAAAUUCAAAGAUCAAAUAAAAUAAGUAUUAAGAAGGAAUACAUGUAAACGUACUGAGAUAUAUGUAGAUGUAGAAAACGAUUGAAACCUCUCAGAAACCACAUUCACGAUGAUGUCUCCUUGAUAAUCUCAUGGGCACAUAGUCAGAUUUCCUAAUUUAUAAUUGCCCAUUAGUAAGCUUAAUCACAUCAAAAACCUCUAGACGCGACUCAUUACAAAAAAAAUGCCACAAUCAAUACAGGAGCAACUCCAAUAAUCUGCAAUGUAAAGCGAGUUCAUGAUGACUGAUGCUGCCCCUUUUCUAGCACGAAGAACUUGAUUUUAUCCUUGGUUAAAAAUAAACAAAAAGCCAUCAUCUAAUCACAUAACUUUACAUGAUCCAGUUAUGGGUUGGAAGAGAAAAGAAGGGGAAAAAAAAUCAGUUUAUCAAGUUCCAACGAUUUCCUUGGUUGAGGAGAGUGCGAGAGACUCACGGGUAGUAUCGGAGCUUCCCCUUCUUCGUAUCUUGCUUGAUCGGGGUGAACGGUUCAUCCGUCGCCACCUCCAUCUUCGCGCUCGUCUCCUUCGGUAUCUCGACGACGAAGCUGAAAGCUCCGUCCCCCAAAUGGAGCGGGAUAUCGUGCCAUGGGGAAAUCUGCGAAGCAAGCAACCCCAUUCCAUCCCAAACCCACCCAUCAGUCACGUAAACCUAGAGAGAGAGCGAGAGAGGAAGAGGGGAAGGGCGACGUGAUCGUAGAAACCUUACCUUCUUACCGGAGCCAUCGAGGAAGAAGACGCGGUAGUCAAGAGUCUCAGGCUGGCCCUCCUCCUUCACCUGGAUGUCCGGCUGGUAGAGCGCCCUGCAGGCCUUGUGGAGAGCCUUCGAUCUCAGGUGGACGGCCCCAGGCCUCGCGGCGAAAGGGCGCCUCUGGAACAGCAGCCCGCACUUCCCGGCAUGGGAGCCCUGCAGCGCCCCCGCAGCCGUCAGAACCCUAGCAGCCGCCGCCAUCCCUAUCGGGCAACCCGGCAGCAGCUCUCUCUGAACUCCGACAACCACAGAAGCUCUCCGCCGCAGGUACAGCCAAAUCCGCCCCGCCAUGGCCGGGAGCUAUAUAGCCCUUCGCCGAGCUCUAUCUCCGCGGAUGACGCGGCGACCAUCCAUUGGACGACAACGAUCUGGCAGAAAAAUCGUAACUGUUUAUUUUAAGCCGAUCAACAGUAUCUCAGUCGCUUCCAAAUCGUUGUUGCUUGCAGGAAUAAUUCGAUUAAAAUUAUUUCCGAUCGCAAAAAGCUUCGAUCACAUCAAGCUUCCUCUACCACCGGCGGCGACGAUCUUCUCCGUCGAGGACGGCGGCACCGCCGGCCACUGGGUGCCGCGCCGCCGCGGACCACCGCCUCCUCGCCGGAAGAGAAACCGUCGUCGCCGGCCACAGUGACCGUUGCGGCGGACCGAGGAGCGUUUUUUAUUCAAUUAAAAAGUCAACCAAGAGAAUUUUUUUUUUCUCGGUGGUUGCCAAAGGGCGGUUUUUUAUUCUGUUAGCAGCUAAUGUACCUGGACAAAAUUACAGCCAGGUACAUCUCGCGAACACAUGAAGAUCCGUCAAUAUUAUAUUAAUUUCUUUUUACUCUCCUGAGAUACAUAAAUUAUAUAUAUAUCCCUAAGUUCUGUCACCUAAAUCCAGCUCACGGAGACAUCAAUCGAAUUAUAUAUGUUUCAUGGGUACGUUUUUGAAAAUGCGAAAUUACCCUGAGGCUAUUUUAUUUAACGGAGGACUCCUAAAGGGUGGGUAAAGCUAAAUAUCCCUACAUUAUUUUAUUACUCCUAAUCUCAGGCAACUAAUGGGUUAAUCACGAAGUAGGCUAUCACGUGAUGAAAGAGACGGGGGAUGGGUGGCCCUCACGUGGGGGGUCUAAUUAUGUAGAAAUAAUGGGGAAUCGGAUCUGAAUGGGACCUCAUAAAUGUACCGCAAGCGGAUCUCCACACGUUCAACCGGCCAGCGGGCCCAGGCAGACCCAUGUGGGAUCCGCGAGUCUGGGGCUUUUCGGCGGGCCCGCACGUGGGAGCUCUGGGGCCCGACACGCGUGAAUUUCCCGCCUCCGGAGUGUCGGUCUGGCCUGGCCUUAUUCGGGGUAAGUUCACCGAAGUUUACGGUGUUUCGCUCGUGGACCUGGGAAAACGACCGUGGUCUUUCUCCGGUCUUUCUCCUCUUACUUGACCCGUAACAGCGAUAGAAAAGACCAGUAGAUGUGGGUACUUUGUGUCGGGAAUCUCUCUCGAGGCGGGAGGCGGCGGCCGAUCGUCAGUUUGCCACCUUGCCUCAGAGCGGGGAUCGGCGGCGGCGGUGGUCAGGACUCCUGGGAAGCGUCUCCGAUUCCGCAGUUCAGUCGGUUUUGGUGGUGUGAUUCGAUCGGCGGCGGUUUUAAUCGUUUGUUCUUUUUAAUCCGUUGUGUUUCUCAGACUCGCGCGUAAUCUCCACCUCCGGCAUUUGUAAGUCUGGGCUAUGGGGGAAAUUUAUUGGUCCAGCUACCGAGCUUCUAUGAUCUUUGGUGCGUCAUUUGUUAGAUAGUUUUCUCUGGUUUGGCGGGAGGUUGUUCGGCGAGAAAGGGGUGUUGUGUCUGGUUGGGUCGUCGACGCCGGUUGCGGCGGAAAUGGAAGAUGCUUCUCUAUUAUUUUGACGCGGAGGGAGGAAUGCAGGUCAGGAUUUGGCUCUUUCGGCUCGUCAAAGGAGAAAAACUACGGGAGAUGAGUGGGUACGCAGUUGAGGAAGAUGGUGGUUAGUUGGCAUCUCUAUUGAAGAUGUUUCGCCGCGGUUCUCCGAAACAAGGCUGCGAAAAUCUGGUUUUAAGGUUGUUGAUCGGCUGCUGGCGUUCCUAGUCUAUGAAUCAUGUUUCUGGAGGAAGGGUGAAUGCAAGUGGUCGAAGGAUUGCUUUGUUCAGUUUUCCCUUGGCCAUGGUCUGGUCUACAUUUCAAGGUCCAGACGACGUCUUCAGAGUUUUAGCUGACUAUUGAUACUCUCUGCUAGGUAAAUAGAGACAUAAGUCGGGUUCCUGGAUAAUUAGUUUCUCAUCAACUGCAAACCAGGCUUAUUGUCAGUCAUGCCGAGCAUUAGACCCCCAGCUUGGAAGCAGACUGCCACUCUCCAGGUUACAACCAUCUGGAAAGGGGAACCUUUCCUAUGUUUUUGCACUAAUUUGUUCUCUUCUUGAUAUUUUAUUUCAUUUCAGGUGGCUGUGAAGUGCAGACCCUUAACAGAGGCAGAACGUCAACAAAAUCGGCAAAUUGUUCACGUGACAAAUAACAAGGUCUAUAAAUUUUCUCCAGAAACAUGCACUUUUUUGCUCAGAGGCAUUUUUUUCUUUUUUUUUCCAUUAAAGAAUUCUUUUUAAUCAUAAUGCAGGGUGUCAUUGUUUUGGAUCCUGAUUUGUCGAAGGACUACCUUGAUCUCAUCCAAAAUCGUACCAAAGAGAAAAGAUACAGUUUUGAUCAUGCAUUUGGACCUGAGUGCACUAAUACGGUAUGCAAACAAUUUUCUCAUGAAUGUCCAAAAUCCUUGUCUCAUAUUUUCUUGUGGACUUUUGAUUUCGGCAAACAAGAGAAUGAAUGUUAUUAUGGCCUUAAUUACCAGUUUAGUGGAUCCAUGCAAUUCCAGAUAUUGUUUUAAUGAUCGUUGUUUCUUAUGGAGAUUUUCUUUUUUACUUCACCUUAUUAUUGCAUAAUGUUCCAUCAUUGGCCCUGUAGUGUGAAUUCUAUGUUUGUGAGGGAGAUGUAUAAUUGUUCUAUUUGCAAAAGAGUUGCGCCACCAUUGGCAUAUUAAUAAACGUCUUGUUGUUUGAGGUCUUUCACGUCAUAAAGUUCUUAUCGAUGCUAGCUCUCUACAGAAGUUCUAAUCGUGUCUUAAUCUCUUCGAAAAUUGUACCCAGGAUGUGUACAAGUGUAUCUCCUCUACAAUUGUUGGGGUUGUACAGGGCCUCAAUGCCACUGUAUUUGCAUAUGGUGCAACGGGAAGGUAUUAUUCUAUUUUAAAUUGACUUGAAAUGGUUGCUAUUAUUUUAUUAAAUUGUAUUUAUUCACUUGAGAUCAUUUUCUAAUUAAAAUUAGAGGUGCAUUUUCUUAUUUUCGUGGUAAUUUAUUUUUUUAUUUAUCCAUGUCAUUUGAUCUCUUGAGCUAUACUCCGCCCAUUGGAUACUCUAAUAUGGUGGUCAAAGUUGCCUUCGUGUUGCUUUGCAUUUGACCCAAACCGUGUGAAGUUUUACUGUUUCAUAGAGAAAAUCUUUCAAACGUAACUAGACAAGUUUUAGUAUUUCAUUAGCUUCAUUUAUCUGUGAAUGAUUGUAUCUCACAUUUUAAUAAAAGAGGCAUAUCUUUUCACAGGUGAAUUGUCAUAGACCUAGUACAUUUAAAUGUCAAUCUCUAAUACAUAUUUGAUUAAAUGCGGCAUUAAAUUUGCAUCCGUAUAGGAAUCAUGAAUGUCAGUAAUGAUACUUUCCUUUUCUUUUAAUGAAAGAGAGUGUCCUUCUCCUUCUAAAAACGAGUGUUUGUUCUGAUAUAAUGCUUUUUGUUCAGCUGAUGUUAUCCAUUUUAUUUACGUUUACAUUUAAUCAUAUGUUUAACAUCUCAUGUCUAGAAGCUUGUAAUAAUGCUAGAGGACCAUUCAAGGUUACGCUAAUGUAAAGACCUUUUACAUAUUGCGCUUUCCAGGUAAGAAUCCGGGAAUCAUGUCAUGUGUAUUGCUUAAGUGAUCCUCAUCCUCUUCAGAAUGGGGAAUGUGAACACACCUUUGGUGCUCAUGGCUUCUUAUUCUUUACAUACUAUUAAAACACCGAAAGCUCCAAAAACCAAGCCAUAUCAACAGGCUCAGGAUUGAUCUCCCAGUCUGAUUCUAACUGACCUUUGUUGACUAUUAUACAGUGUUUUUAUGAAAGACUUAGCCAAUGGUUAAUACACUUUGGAUAGAUAUGAAUAACAGAAUUUCCGCAUCGAUGAUCGCUAAUUUUUCGCUUUUCCCGUUGUCAUACAGUCAUGUUGUACAUAUAUUAUGAAUUUGUUCCCUAAAGUCCCCAAAUUGGCAGCGCAUUGGAGGAAUAUGGUUUCCGAGAAUAAUAUGGCUAUGAUUUUAACCUUCAAUGGGGAGGCUUGGAUUCUUGGUGUGUAUAUCAUCAAUGUUUCUCUUGUGCAUCGGGCAGCAUAUGUGAUUUUGGGGAUGUUUAGGUGCAACUUCUUAUACAGUUGAGUAGAACUUUUGUCAUCAAUAACUUGUCGCAGUAUUCAGUUUUCAAGAAAGUCAAAGUCUUUCUUUUUUCCAGCAUAAUGGGAUUUAUAUAUAAUAUGCGGAAUGAUGUCAUGAAAAUUUUCAAACAUGUACAUUAUUAUCAAACAUUAACCAAAGAAAGAAUUAGCUAUUACAUUUUCUCUGAGUGGCCAAGUUUUUUAUUAAAUUUUUCAAUUUGGGCCCUAAAGGCGAGGUUGAUGUCAUUAUUUGAAUAUUGACUGCCUUUUGUACCUUGACUAAUUCAUUCAAAGUUUUAAGUGUUGCCAUGUUUUUCGGAAACCAAACUAGAAUGCUGUGUUUUCAUGUAUGAAUGUAAAUUUAAACAGUUUUACGAUUGUUAAUAUCACUAGAAUCCUAUGCAUGUAUGUGUAUGAUCCUUGGGUCAGAGAUAUACAUUAUGCUUUGCUUUGCGCGCAUAUGUUACAGCUUCUUGUCUUAUAUGUAUUUCCAGUGGGAAAACAUACACAAUGGUUGGGACACGCAAUGAUCCUGGACUUAUGGUUCUUAGCUUGCACACAAUCUUUGACCUCAUCAAAAAAGAUGAAAGCUCAGACGAGUUUGAAGUUGCCUGUUCGUACCUAGAAGUAUAUAACGAAGUAUGUCGUUGAUUUCGACACAAUGUCUGUCUGCUGAGCUUUAAUCACGUUAAAGCCCGUUUUCCACGACUCUUUAUCCUUUUUUCUUUCGCGGAAUUCUAGGUUAUAUACGAUUUGCUUGAGAAGUCUUCCUCUCAUUUGGAGCUAAGAGAGGACCCUGAGAAAGGAAUCGUUGUUGCUGGUCUCAGGACUAUUAAGGUGUGCUUUAUUUUCCUCUAUAUAUUAUUCUAUAGCCUUUCAACUUUAUUUUUCUCUAGGAAAAAAUCAAAAAGGGAAGUGGAGUAUUUUAUUUAAAGGGAUAUUAAUAAGAAAUAAACCAUAACUUUUAUACUCCCCGUCAGCUGAGAUUAGAGGUCAGUUACACUCAUUUUUCCUACAGUAGAGAAACCGGACUAUGUUCAUCCUUUUUGAAAAGAUAUUAGUCACAUCAUCUUUUGUAGACACAUCUCUUGAUAAUCUAAUUUACUUUGAUAAAGUAAUUGUAAAUUUCUUUAUAUUUGGUCUUGUCACGCUGCAAUGAAUUAUUUGCGAGCAAAUAACGGAACAAACACAACUAUGCGGGACUUUCAAACGAUGGAUGGCUUAAUCUAGAGUGACAUAGAUGAACCUCUGAGAGCCUCUUUUGCGAGCUCCUUGCGUACAUGUAGAGACAACCAUGCAGAACGAUAUUCCUGAAUUCUUGUUGAUAGUCAGUUUCCUGGAGGAAAGUUUGAUCAACAGCAGAUCCACGCACGUUUAAACACUCCUCCCUCUGAUACAGCUAGAUUUAGUCGAGCGCUCUCUGCUCACAGGUCUCGUGGCUAUGAUUUCAUUAAGAUAAAAGAAGGGCAAGAUAAGAGAAUGUGGACAAAAGAAGAGGAGUACUGUAUCAGACUUUUUAAGGCCCGUGCUACUACUCUAGGAUUUCAUAUAUUUGGGUGAAAAACAGAUCAAUAGGAACUACACUCUUAUGGGAUAGAGAGUAAAAUACCUUGUUAUAAAUACAAAUAACUAAUAGACAUUGGCCUUUAUACCAUUCAAACCAAGUGUGCAUUCAUUUGUUUAGGACAGAGGCUCCCUGACCAGCUAUAUUCAGGGAAAGAGUUGCGCACACUUUACAUUGAAACUCUAUACCUUUACUCAGAGGUCCUGAAAAUGAUAGGCUUGCUUGCCACAUAUAUAAAUCUAGCUAUAUUUUAUUUCAAUUUUUUAUUUUCAUCAUAUAUAAAUUAAUAUUAAUUGGCAAAAUUACAGUCACAUGUCUUCUUGCGUUCUGGAUUUAUGCGUUCCCAUACUGGAUUCCCAUAGUUUGCCAUCUCUUAUGAUGAAUAUUCUUUUUUUUCCAUUUUUCAGGUCCAAUCAGCUGAUAAGAUAUUGGAGCUUUUAAACAUUGGAAAUAGUAGGCGCAAAACAGAAAGCACGGAAGCAAAUGCAACUUCUUCACGGUGAGCUAUGGGUACAAUUCAGAAUCAUCAUAUUCAUUUGGAUUUCACAUUGAUGCUACCAGAAAUUUUCUGGAUUUUUGUUUUCACUUCAUUUAUUUAUUUUCAUUUGACAGCAGGUUACUUGACCUUCUGAAAAAAUGUUCCUAUAGUAGGGUGUUAGCUAUUCACAUUGAUGAUAAUAACUAGCUACUGUAGUUACAGUUUUCCGUUGACAAUAUUAAUCAUUUAGUAUGUCACGGGCACUCUUUCUUUCUAACCCCAUAUGUAGAGGAAACACACUUUCCUUCCUAGAGCUGUGAAGACACCAAAAGUAAACACUUUACAACUGUUACUUUCACAGAUGUCCUUGCCAUUCCCGGGGUAAUCUAGUGUUAUUAUUUUCCCCUAUUCAACUCACGCUUGGACAUGCUUUCUUAUUACAUGUUUCGUAUUUAAAUUCACUAAACAUGCGAUGCCCUUGUAUGGCGUGCUCUUCCGAGUCCACUGGCCUCACAUUGUAUGCCAACGUGUUAGAGGGAUAUUCCAGGGGAUGGGUGUCUACUGGAAGACACUGUAGAACUUAUGAUGCAUCGGACACCACUCUAAUUGGAAGCCGAAUGCUUCCUUAAACAGGUCACAUGCAGUCUUGGAGAUUACCGUGAAAAGGAAACAGAAAAACAACUACAGAACUCAAGUUCUACGCGGAAAACUUGCCCUCGUUGAUCUUGCCGGGAGGUCUUUACCUGCUCCAGAACUUCCUCAAAUUUUCAAUUAUUUCGUAUUUAUUUAUUUCUCUGUCCUUGACUCCCCGCAAUUCUUUUAAAACCUGCUUCCCUCAGUGAAAGAGCAUCUGAAACCCACAAUGCCGGUCAAAAGCUAAGAGACGGGGCUAAUAUCAAUCGCUCUCUUCUUGCCUUAGCUAACUGCAUCAACGCUUUGGGCAAGCAACAUAAGAAGGGGCUUGCAUAUGUUCCUUACCGCAAUAGGUAUUUCUUUACGAUUUUAAUUUUGAGUAAUAAUUACAGAACCAUCAGAUGUACCUUAUUAUUUUUUUUAAUCUCUUCAGCAAGUUGACACGGAUUCUGAAGGAUGGUCUGAGCGGUAAUUCCCAAACAGUUAUGGUUGCCACUGUAUCACCCGCAGAUGGUCAGUAUCACCACACUGUUAAUACGCUGAAAUAUGCUGAUCGAGCCAAGGAGAUCAAAACACACAUUCAGGUGAUAGUUUUUUACUUGAUAGAAACCGUCCCUGGAGUUUGAAAAUCAGAACGGUUUGGGUGACUUUUGGAUGAAAGUAAAGAGACAAGAUAAUCAGUUUCACACAUUUCAUACGGCCCUGUUCAGCAUAGUUGUUCUUUUUAUUUUUUUUAAUGCCGGACUAUGCUCGGGGUAGUCCUUUUUAUGGUCACCCAGUUCUUCCACAUGGAUUGCCUAGCCGUAUAUAUUUGAGUCGAUUCUUCUGACCAGUUUGAAGAAUGACACAAAAGUAGUUGACUUUUAGUGAGGCCAAUGCUGACUGUGUUCCAAUGUGUCAGAAAAACAUCGGACCGAUUGAUACCCAUAUCACGGAUUACGAAAGAAUGAUCGACAACCUCCAGGUAAUUUUUUGGGAAAUAUUUGAUGUUUUAAAGGUCGAAAAUGGUGCUCUAAUUCUGGGCUGUGAUUUUAAUCUUGCAGGUUGAAGUAUGCCGAUUAAAGAAGGAAUUAGCUGAGAAGGAGUCUCAGUUAUGCAGAAAACCAGCCGAAAAGACUGCAGAUGAUGAGCUCUCUUGGUUAAAUUUUUUGAGCCGCGAGACCAGUGAAAAUGUUCAGGAACGCAUAAACCUUCAGAAGGCGCUGCUAGAGCUUGAGGAGACCAACCUCAGAAAUCGGAUUGAGCUUCAACAUCUCGAUGAUGCCAUCGCUAAACACCAGGUUUGUCCAUUACGGUUUUUUUUUUUGCUCGUUUUUUUCUCCAAAAUCUCUCGAAAAGACCAGGUUAGGAGGAGAAUAUUUUCGUGGGUUCAUAGUCGGUGUAUGAGUUGGCUCUAUCCAUUUCAAUUUCUGUAAAAUCUUCAUUAGUUUAUUAUUUACGUCAAUGUUCAGCUUUGAAACAAUGAAUAUUCUAUCUUUAUCACCUCGUAAUUGCUGUUAUAAUAAGCUAUUUGUCAACGGACCCACGGUUGCUUCUCCCUGCUUGAUAGAUAGAUCACCAUGUGCGUUAUGUGUGCUCGGAUGGUUGACUUUCUAUGUUGCUCAGGCCGUUGAAAAAGAUGGCACAGUUGUUCAGACGCUGAGCCUAAGGCGGCAGGUCAUUCUUGAUAACAUCCGUGACAACGACGAGUCCGGCACCAUCUACCAGAAGGUGCCCAUCGAUCCCCCCCCCCCCCCCCCNNNNNNNNNNNNNNNNNNNNNNNNNNNNNNNNNNNNNNNNNNNNNNNNNNNNNNNNNNNNNNNNNNNNNNNNNNNNNNNNNNNNNNNNNNNNNNNNNNNNNNNNNNNNNNNNNNNNNNNNNNNNNNNNNNNNNNNNNNNNNNNNNNNNNNNNNNNNNNNNNNNNNNNNNNNNNNNNNNNNNNNNNNNNNNNNNNNNNNNNNNNNNNNNNNNNNNNNNNNNNNNNNNNNNNNNNNNNNNNNNNNNNNNNNNNNNNNNNNNNNNNNNNNNNNNNNNNNNNNNNNNNNNNNNNNNNNNNNNNNNNNNNNNNNNNNNNNNNNNNNNNNNNNNNNNNNNNNNNNNNNNNNNNNNNNNNNNNNNNNNNNNNNNNNNNNNNNNNNNNNNNNNNNNNNNNNNNNNNNNNNNNNNNNNNNNNNNNNNNNNNNNNNNNNNNNNNNNNNNNNNNNNNNNNNNNNNNNNNNNNNNNNNNNNNNNNNNNNNNNNNNNNNNNNNNNNNNNNNNNNNNNNNNNNNNNNNNNNNNNNNNNNNNNNNNNNNNNNNNNNNNNNNNNNNNNNNNNNNNNNNNNNNNNNNNNNNNNNNNNNNNNNNNNNNNNNNNNNNNNNNNNNNNNNNNNNNNNNNNNNNNNNNNNNNNNNNNNNNNNNNNNNNNNNNNNNNNNNNNNNNNNNNNNNNNNNNNNNNNNNNNNNNNNNNNNNNNNNNNNNNNNNNNNNNNNNNNNNNNNNNNNNNNNNNNNNNNNNNNNNNNNNNNNNNNNNNNNNNNNNNNNNNNNNNNNNNNNNNNNNNNNNNNNNNNNNNNNNNNNNNNNNNNNNNNNNNNNNNNNNNNNNNNNNNNNNNNNNNNNNNNNNNNNNNNNNNNNNNNNNNNNNNNNNNNNNNNNNNNNNNNNNNNNNNNNNNNNNNNNNNNNNNNNNNNNNNNNNNNNNNNNNNNNNNNNNNNNNNNNNNNNNNNNNNNNNNNNNNNNNNNNNNNNNNNNNNNNNNNNNNNNNNNNNNNNNNNNNNNNNNNNNNNNNNNNNNNNNNNNNNNNNNNNNNNNNNNNNNNNNNNNNNNNNNNNNNNNNNNNNNNNNNNNNNNNNNNNNNNNNNNNNNNNNNNNNNNNNNNNNNNNNNNNNNNNNNNNNNNNNNNNNNNNNNNNNNNNNNNNNNNNNNNNNNNNNNNNNNNNNNNNNNNNNNNNNNNNNNNNNNNNNNNNNNNNNNNNNNNNNNNNNNNNNNNNNNNNNNNNNNNNNNNNNNNNNNNNNNNNNNNNNNNNNNNNNNNNNNNNNNNNNNNNNNNNNNNNNNNNNNNNNNNNNNNNNNNNNNNNNNNNNNNNNNNNNNNNNNNNNNNNNNNNNNNNNNNNNNNNNNNNNNNNNNNNNNNNNNNNNNNNNNNNNNNNNNNNNNNNNNNNNNNNNNNNNNNNNNNNNNNNNNNNNNNNNNNNNNNNNNNNNNNNNNNNNNNNNNNNNNNNNNNNNNNNNNNNNNNNNNNNNNNNNNNNNNNNNNNNNNNNNNNNNNNNNNNNNNNNNNNNNNNNNNNNNNNNNNNNNNNNNNNNNNNNNNNNNNNNNNNNNNNNNNNNNNNNNNNNNNNNNNNNNNNNNNNNNNNNNNNNNNNNNNNNNNNNNNNNNNNNNNNNNNNNNNNNNNNNNNNNNNNNNNNNNNNNNNNNCUCUCUCUCUCUCUCUCUCUCUCUCUCUCUCUCUCUCUUGGAAGCGUCCUUUCGCGGCAUGAAGGUAAUCCCCGGAAUGGUGACAUGUCUUGAAGCGAAUUGGUUCUUCGUAUGGUCUUCUCUAGAUCAUCCCUCUCUUCUUUGCUUUGACUCUCUUUUACAAUCGGGUUCUUCUCUGGUUUCCCUGUCUUGGGCGGUGGAAAUCAGAUAGCGGUGGAGGGAUGCAUGCACGGGGAGCUCGACAAUGUCUACGCGACCAUCCAGCAUUUGGAGAAGGUGGAGAAUAUCAAGAUCGACCUGCUUAUUUGCUGUGGCGACUUCCAGGUUCUCUUCUCCAUCUCUGGUUUCAGAUCUUAGAGAAGGGACGCAUUUAUUUGAUGAAAGGUCAGCGCGGGGUCGCCCCGCAGAUUCUAUGAUUCAUGAUGACUCCACGGAUCGCACGGCCCUCGCCCGCGGAGAUGGCGUCGGCGCGACGUGGGGACGCAGUGCGCGCCGCCUCGGCGUGCCCCCGCGGGGCAUCCGCGCGCACGCUCCAGGCGAUGCCUGGUGUUUGUCGUUUUUUUAAGUUUGGUCUUUUCUGAUUGCUUGAGGAGAUCGAUGCUGUCAUAUUGUUGGUAACCUUCAUUUUUGUUUCAAUCCAAAUCAGAGUUGUAGAAUGUUGGUUACUUGUGUUCCCCCUAUCGUCGACCAUCAUGAUAGCGGUGGUGGUAGAUGUCGUGGGGAUAUAUUUCUUUUAGAUUCUAGUUUCUUUAUUACUCAUUAGAGCACAAGACAUCUUUCCUAAGAAUCGAAUCAAGAUUUUUUUCCUGGAGAUCGUCACCCAUGCAUUUGAAUCAAUGAUCGUGGACCCAUCAUUGUGAUUAUCCUUUCGGGUUCUUCUUGUCUCGGAUUGUAACUAGUCAGUCUAAGAGCAUCAUCUUGAUGCAUUUUUGUAAACCAUAUUCUGAUAUAUAAGUAAGAUCGCAUCAAGCGUUCCUAAUCAACUCUCUUCAAGAUUGUUUUCAUCUGGGAGUCUCGUUGAGUCAACAGGGAGAGUGGUUUAUGAGCUGAGUGGGGGGUGAAUGUUUCAUUUAUUCCAUUUGUGAAAAUUUUCUGCAUUAACACAGCGUGCAUUUCACCACUGGAUGCCCAUCUCUUGUUAAGACAUGCCGUUAUUAAUGUUGUGACCUACAGGAUUAGCAUCGUUUAUCUUUUGCAGUUUUUUAUUUUUGUUCUAGUCAACGUUGUUUCAUAGAUGUAUUCACAUGGUUAACCUGGGCUAGCUAUCUGGAUGAUGAUUUGAAUGUCCUUCUACAAGAACGAGACGCAGACACAAUAAGCAUGUGGGUGCCGAUUGGAUCGUGUUGUUGGAAAGUUUAUAAUACUUGGAAGACAUUGAUACAGUGUGAAAAUGGGAAUUCUCGUGUCGUUCUCUACUUUAAUGUCUUAGCUAAACCAUUGCGCGCAACGAAAUGGGUCAUUUAUGAGAAAAACACUGAUGGUGCAACAUAAAGAGCAAUAUAUGGCUGGCUGAGGGUUCGUCCUGUUUUUGCACUGCUGUGUCUGUUUUUUCCACAUUUUUGUGAGAUGUGUAUAGGAUUUAUAUCAUUUAAAUCUGAUUUGGGUUUGAAUGUAAUGGUGAAAUCUGUAAUUUAGAAACACAUUUCUCUUUUAAAUCAGAGUAAAGCCACAAAUUCGCAACUAUUGUCAGUAAAAAGGAUCUUCAUACACAAGAGUACUCUGCAGAUUAUCCUGAAAGGUGGUUGGUCUAGGGCAGGAAAAUGUAGGUAUGUGGGCAAACUGCACGUAUCUCUGAAAGUUUAUGAAGACUAAUCGGCUUACUUUGAAAGCAAGGAGGCUCAACUCUUUCGAGUGUUUAAAUUUCCCAGUUUGAAACUAUAUGUUGUUAAUGAAAAUGCUUUGGCUUUACUCCAUAAUUAGUGUGAACUUAUCUUAAAUCCUACUAUGAUGACAAAGUUGUGUGUAUAUUCUUAUCUCAUUUCUGUGAAUAAGGACGGUGAGUGCUCGUUGAUUUUUUAUAUUUCCAGUGGCAGUAUAUCUAAUUAUUUUCUAGCUCCGUUUGGAUUUCUUUUUAUUUUUGAGCAUGCUGGUGAAACCUAAGUUAUAAACCAUUCCAUGUUUUUUUUCUUUUUGCAAACAGGCAGUCAGAUAUCAAAGCGACUUGAAUAGCCUAAAUGUCAAACCAAACUAUCGAAAAAUGAACUCUUUUUGGAAAUACUAUUCUGGAGAAGAAAUAGCUCCUUAUCCUACAAUUUUUAUUGGCGGCAAUCAUGAAGCAUCCAACUAUUUGUGGGAAUUGUGAGUUUUUUUUUGCCAUUCAUCUUUUGUUUCUGAGGUUACAUUGAGAAUAAGUAAUUUUCGUACAUAGAUAGCUAUUUGGAAACUUUCAUGAAUUCAUCAAAGAUUUUGGAGGGUAUAAUUAUUUCCUCAAAUGGCUGUGGUGUUCCAUUUGGUUGCGAAACCCAGAUAAUGUAAGGAUUUCCUGGAGUUUGGUGAUUUUCCGUUUGAUGCUGACUAAGAAGUACCAUAAACAUCAUUCAUCUACAAAUAACCAAAAGACCGUUGAUCAUUGGAAUGUAAUAUAUUUUGACUUUGAAAUUUCGAAAAUUUUAAAAUGAGAUCUGCAUUCAGAGAAAGUUGUUAUCGGUCCAUAGAGCAGCAGAACUUUUUGGUUCGCUGAUCAGCUGAUUAAAUGAAUAGAAGAUAAAUUUUAUUUCCUCCCUUUCCCGCUCCAGCAGAGCCUGUCACGUUGACCCUAUACGCGUCCUGUGCUGUUUCUAUCAGGAUUUUUUUUCCCUAAUAUCUCCCCGCCGUUGAUUGUUGAAUUUGAGCGCUGUAAUUGUUUACAAUGUUUCCGCCUUGUUAUAUAUAUGUUCCUCUCCAAUUAAAUUCAUUAAGUGUGUUAUCUGGUACGAGACAAAUGAGGACCUUUAGAAGUAUGUUCUAUCGCAGAUGAAAAGAUUGGCAUCCACUGUAAUAAAAAAAUAUGCCACCAUGUAUUGGGAAGGCUAUGUUCUCCCUCUCUUCCUCUAUGAUCUGUCACUGAAUAAAUAUUGAUGUUGUGGCUUUCUUUGUCAGGUAUUAUGGUGGAUGGGCGGCACCCAACAUUUAUUUCUUAGGGUACGCUGGAGUUAUGAAAUUUGGUGACAUUCGUAUUGCCGGAUUAUCAGGAAUAUAUAAUCCACGACAUUAUAACCUUGGUUAGUGACGGCUAUGCCAUGUAUGCGUUUGUUCAAGUUUUUUUUGUUAUUUCUUCUUUUUCCUUGCGCUAUUAAUUCUCAACAUUCUAACAAAAUACGCCCUCUUUCGGGUGACCUCAGAUUCCUAUGUCACAUGAUUCCACUAUUUCUCAUGCAUUAUUUUGAUUUUAUGCCAACAUGACAGCAGAAUUAUCAGGCUUUAAUCUCAAAUUACGAAAAUAGUCUAAUUUCCCCUCCCAUCAGACAGUGAAUGUUACUCGGGAAGAAAAUUGAUAAAAUUCGGAAACUUCACUUGACCCGUUAUAUUCAAUUCUUUAUUUCUCCAUUUGAAAGUCGUCAUAUUUGAACUAUUGCAAUGUUGGUUUCUAAAUGUCAUAUAAAAUUGGCAUUUUAAUGUUGCUUUGUAUAAAUAGUUUAGCGAAAGUCUCUAAGAAGAUGAUCUGUUAUUUGGCAGGACACUAUGAGAGACCUCCUUAUAAUGAGAGUGAUAUUCGAUCCAUAUAUCAUGUUAGGGAAUAUGAUGUUUUCAAGCUUAUGCAAAUCAAGGAACCAAUUGAUUUGUUCAUUUCACAUGAUUGGCCUCUCGGUAUAACUGAUUUUGGCGAUUCUGAUAAUCUUAUUCGCAAGAAGCCGUAUUUUAGAAGGGAGGUACGUGUAUCUAUGGUUACUACAUACAUUCUGGACAUUCUAGAGUAACCUUCGAAUAAUUUACAUUUCGAAGCGGCUAUUAAUUUCUGACCUUCAUUAUCUUGAUUUUUUUUCUUUGACCGAAGCAUUUGAAUAAUUAUGUCUGCUUCAUAGAGUGGUUGAAGUACCUUUUGAUGAAAAAUGCCGGAGUUUGAACACGACAGAUUUUUUUUUAUAUUUAUUGCUUGAUUUUCCCUAGAUUGAGGAACGAACUCUGGGAAGUAGGGCUGCAGCACAACUACUAGACAAACUGAAACCGCCUUAUUGGUUCUCUGCUCAUCUUCAUUGCAAAUUUCCUGCCGUAAUUCAGCAUGGAGAGAAUGGACCUGUGACAAAAUUUCUUGCUCUUGACAAGUGCCUCCCAAGGCGUCAGUUUUUGCAGGUAUGGUCUCUUUUCCGGAUGUUUAUUUUUCUUUUCAUCAGUGAAGAUAUAUUUUAGUCUAUGUCUCUGAUUUUUUUUAGAUUUUGGAAAUCGGAUCAGAUCCUGGGCCCCAUGAAAUUAUGUUUGAUGAAGAGUGGCUUGCAAUAACACGGAAAUUUAAUUCGGUCUUCCCUUUGACACGAAAACCUUGGCUGGGGUAAGCACAUCACUACUAUGGACACUGUCAUAUAUAAUCUUCCGUUGUAUGCGAAGUUAAUUGCUUCAUGCUUCCAACUCAGAGCUCAACAAGAUGAAAACCAGGAUCACUACCAAUGGAUCAAAGACAAGCUGAAGGCCAGAGGGGGUCGGCCCUUUGAGUUUAUCCGAACUCCUCCUUCUUCUGGUAACUUAUGCUUUUUUUUCUGCGAUCCCCUAGAUAUUCUUAAAUGCUGAACUGUGACCUUUGGCAUCCAUCUCUGAAAUUUGUUCGUUCACAUUCUAGGUCAUCAACGGAACCCUCAGACAGAAUCUUUGUUAGAAUUCUUAGAACUUCCCUAUCUCCUUGACGUAACAACAGAGACAAGUACAGUAUUACAAGGUAAUAUUCUAUGCCGUCAUCUUAGUCAAUAUGAAAACGGUCUUCAUUACUCAUAUUAUUCCCUGAAAUGUGUACGCUGUUUUUUUUUGAUAUUUUGUUAAUAAGAAGGGAAAUGAAAAUUGUUUGGUGUGAAACCAUGGAGAAAUAGUGUGAAUGCAUUCUAUGAGACUUCAUUUUAGUUCAAACUCGUCUUCUACUCCUCUACGCACGAUUUGCGGGAUUCUGUACGGGGACCACCCCGGUAAAAGUUCUCCUUUCUCAUGUGUUCGUCUGAUUUUGCUCUCAGAACCUUGAGAUUGUCACUAUAAAUACAUAUCCCUUCCAUUAAUGAUUCUUUUUCCCAUUACUCCCGUUCAUAUUCCAUUUGGGUAAAGGAAUUCUUUGAACUGUCGCCAUGAUGCCAAAAUGCACUGUCAUGAUGAGUAUGAGACUGUUUGUUUAAUGAUAUAUGACUAUCUCCAGGAUUUAAAAAACUUGUGUGAUACGUCGGGUUCUAUGAAAAUGAGACUGGCUUAACGUGGGGAUCUUAUCUGGGGGGUGGUUGACCCCGACCAGGCUAGCCUAGUAUUUUGAUGGAAGUUCGAGCCUGGCCUCUGCCGGUUUCUGGCCUGAAAACACCAUGCAAGCCAAAAAAAGUCGGCUAUCACCUCCAUGUGAUACGCAAUACACGCCCUGCGCCUCACCUCCUCUCUCAUGUCUCCCCCAAAGGGCCUGAUUUCAAGGUCCCCAGCUGCGAGGCCGUGGAUGCUGUGCCGACGUUGUUAUGUAGAGUGGGGACUGGUUACCUCCUAGUUUGUUUGUUUACCCCCUGCUAUAUGGAGGGAAUUUGUAGGCGCAGUGGCAUCAUCUGCACCUCAUGAUAGGUUAUCUUCUUGGAAGCAGUGUGAAUCAUCUCAUGCAGCUGUAACUUUAUCACCAUUAUGCCACUCACUUCAUCUGUAGACAAAUCACUUAAAGUUUUUUUGUGCGUGGUGAUCCUAUUAUCCUCUACUCUCCGUGAAUAAUAGGAGGUUUCUACUCCUAACAGGGCUGGAAGCGGGCUAGGCAGUGUCCUCAUGGGGUCUGAUAUUUUCUUUUGAACCCAAGAAAGAAUAUGCCAUACCAGUUUGAUCUUCGCUUUAUCUAUCUUUCGCUGUGGCGUCUCACACUCCUGAUUAUGUUUCCUUGAAUUAUUUUGUAUCCAUAAUUGACGGAUCAUACUUCAACUUGGUCAUGAUCCUUAUUGUAACGGUUCGCUCUUUUAUAUUCUUUUUCAUCUCUUUUCUUGUAUGGGGUAUUUUUUUUUUUUUUCACUGUUCUUCUCUCUAUGCAUGGCAAUACGGCCACUUCUUUCUGUAAAUAUAUGCUCAUUUAAUCUCAGAAAAAUGCCGUUCAUGGAAUACAGGGGCAGAGGACCAGCCAUUGGAGGACGACGGUGGGAAUGGGACCACUGAUGACAUCGACGAAAUGGAAGAGCUUACAGUUGCCGGUGGCCCUGAUCCAUAGCCACCACCCCUACCGGUCAGUAGCCUGCUCUGCCCUGGGCUUCCCCCUCCCUCUCCGACCAUUGGCCAGCUACAGGCAGAUGAUUAUGUUAUCCUUCUGGCUCCUCAUCAUCUGCAGAGGGUCUCGGGAGAUGGGUCGAUGAUUAUAGUAUCACCCCGGCUCCAAUUCGGAAUCCCAAGCUAGUCUAGAUUUGUCUGGCACUGUCCCCGUGUUGGGUAACUAGAAAAUUUCCUCCUGUUCCCUCUUUUCCCGGCCUGCCUAGCGUGCGGCCCUUGGUAGAGCUCUGUGCGUCCUCAGGCAGGAGGGGGGGGUUGGGGGGCGCCGGUCUCGGGGCCCUUCUGGUUCUUCCAUUCAGGCGGGCGGGGGUGCUCCGACGGGGGCGGGAGAGGGAAAAAAAUGCCGGCUUGGUGGCGGAUCGGCCGGCGCCGUAUUAUUGAGUGGAAAAAGUUGGAGUCUUUUUUGGCUUUCCAGAGGCGCCGUGCCGCUGCCUUCGGUGGUAUCUCUUUCCCUCCUGAAGCGCGGUCGUGUUCUGAGAUCGAAGUCAACCCCCCCGGCCAAUCGCGGGGGAGAUGCCCCUUGCUUUCUCCGGUUUGGUUUCUACGCCGUGCGUCGCCUCUCUCUCUCUCCUCUCUCUCUCUCUCUAGAGGGUAGAUGAGAAGGAAGCAGAGUGGCCACAGUUGUUUGGGGAGGGGGGGGGGGAGAAGAAUAGGCGUUGUGGGCACAAGAGAGGAAGGCAACCUACCUACCAGUCUAUGGUAGCGAGGAGGGACUCCGGCGUAGACGUUGAACCAACUCCCCUACGGGGCAGAAGAUGCCGUCGCCGCUAUGGAGUCUACGCCGCACCGGCUGCCACUGAAGCCGGAAAGAUGCCGGCGUCGGCCCCGUAGCCCGGCCAAUGAGAGAGGAGAAGACGCUGGAGAAUAGCAGUAUUGUAAUCAAUCGCCAAGCCCGGCAGUAUCUGUGAAAACCUUCGAGGGGACGCCGUGUUGGAUGAUACGGGGGAGAAGAUGACCAACCAGGCGCCGCCAUGGGCCGGGCAGAAGGUGGCGGAGAACCGGAGUUCGUCAUGGCCGAUAUGGUCGUCACCAAGCGUGGCAGUAUCUGCGGAAGGCUUCGAGCGGGCGCCGCAUCGGAUGACCAACCAGGCGGCGCCAUGGGCGGAGCAGAAGGUGACGGAGAACCGGACUUCAACAUGGGAGGAGCACGUGGCUAGCUGUAGACUUUGAUGGCGUGUGGUCCGUCUGAGAGAAGACAAGGAAGAAUGCUCGAGGACCCCGACAGUCGUCCCUUCAGCGGGAACGGCGGACAACGGAUCGGCCUGGGUUUCGUCGCCGACACGUGAGUCGGCGCGGCGUGAGGUGACCCCCCGUCCGUUCUUGCUGUCUCCCAUCUGGGGAGGAUCCGGAAGGAAACUCCGGGUGGAAAGAAGGGUUCUUGGAGCGAGGGGGGCUGCUUAUUAAGGAGGGGUUUAAUUCCUGAACCCUCGCGGGGGUCGCUCGGAUGUUUCUGAGAUUUGUUCGUCCGGGUGGACGGCGUCUGAUCGAAUUUUCCCAGAUCGGCGCUGUUCGAAGCGGAUACGACUGAGCUCUGGUUCAGAAUCUUUCUCGUAUUCAUCGCAGGGAUGUGAUCCUGUAGCAUAUUCUUGGAGCGUAGCAGUCUCUGAUCCAGCUGCAUGGGUCCCGGAGGAUGAGGACUCCCCGGAUUCGGACACGAGGAAGCGUUGGGGGGUUGAUGAGGGAGGGCAUCGGGAGCUUCCUCGUGACAGGAGCUGCGGCAUCCCCUGGUGGCAGGCUGGAGAAGCCCCUGCCCGGAUAUGACGUGCCGAGUGCGGGGUUCCGAGCAUCGGCACUGGAGCAGUGAUCUGCUAAGCUUGGAAGGAACGGGCAGGACCGUGAUGGCCGUGCAUGCAGUCUAGUUACGUGAAUGAGUACGCUCUCUCCUCUCUCUCUCUCUCUCUCUCUCUCUCUCUACNNNNNNNNNNNNNNNNNNNNCUCUCUCUCUCUCUCUCUCUCUCUCUCUCUCUCUCUCUCUCUCUCUCUCUCUCUCUCUCUCUCUCUCUCUCUCUCUCUCUCUCCUCCUCUCUCUCUCUCUCUCUCUCUCUGUGGCCGUCGGCUUGUCCCGUUGCGGGCGGAGGAAAGGCAAGGUUUUUCGGCACGGGACUUGUAGAACCCAGCGGGGGCCGCGUGGCUCCAGCUGGGGCUGAGCAGAGGCGGCGCGUGUGCAUGACGCAAGGGCGUCGACCUCACGGGGGAAAAUCAUAGGCUACUGCGGGCUGAGCCAGAUCCCAGAGCACCUGAUGGGAAGGAAGUACGCCAGCGACAGCCUCCACAGUUAAAGCAGAAGCGCCCGUGGAGAAAAGGCGCUUCAAUUAUCGAAUGAUAUAUAAAAAUAUAUACAGUUCUUCCGCGAAGGGAUCACCACUCACUGAAUGUGUAAGGGGGAGAAGGGGUGAAUGAUGGGGCAGGAAAAAAUAUCUGAAAAAGAAGCGCUGCGUACCUCAACGGCGGCCCGUCGUCCUCUUGGCCACAGGAGAGCGGGGGAGGGCGAGGAUGGCGAUGAGGCCGCUGAUAAAGGCUGCGACUCCGGCGACAGCGAAGGCUGGCGCAUUCCCACCUCCGAAGAGCUGGUCCCAGGGUCCACUCCCCACGGACACAAUCACCUGCGCUCGCACGAAAGGAUUCCAUCAGAUGGGUUCUUCUCAUAGCCUCUCAGAUGGGCACUCAACAUCAAGCAGAAUAGUCAGAAGUGCAUGACGUUGACUCAAAGAACUAGUUUUGAUCAGAUGGGCAGUGAUUACGUGGCUAUCUGGGACGAGGUCCAUCUGACCCAUCACCACAUCAGUGAACAGAUUACUUCCCAUUUUCGAUUCCUCUUUCAGGGUUCCUGGCUGUAUGGGGUCCAACUGCACUAGAGUAGGGUGGGCGGCUGCGUCUAGAAUAAUGCAGACGGUCUUACCAGAGAGAGGCUGCUUUUGAAAGAACUGUCUUAUCCUUGGAGCUGAAACUCCAUAUACAUGCAUCGACUCUGACAUAAUUUGGUGAUGAAUAACCAUGAAGGGGCAACCUAGCCAACCCCCAGCUAUGUCAGAUGCUCGGAAGCACAAUUAAUCCAUACAAGAUUCGAACUAUGUGCGUUCUGUGUAUAGCAUUCAUAUGAUUUACGUGGAGAAGGAAGGUCAACCAUUGUGUGCAUAAAAUCUGAUCCUUUUCCAAUAAGAUUUUAGAUCAAGCAUAUGCUAAAUAACUCAUUCUUCUAUCAUGGCAGUGUUAAUCAUUCAUUCUGGCAGUCUUGCCACGCGGUUAGUCUUUCAGGGGUGUGACAAGCAGUCUCUCUGCUGCCACCAUGCUUCAUACUCUCUCUGAUAGAGCCACAUGACAUAAUUUCUUGUUCCCUUGGAACAUAUUCACCAACAAGUUGACAACGUUAGUCAAAACAAAACCAGAGCUUUGACUAUCUUUAAGCAUCCAUCACCCAAGAUGAAAUAACCUUUUGACUUCUGUGUCGAGUUCAUGGAAGGUGAAGGGAGUCUGUCAACAUUUUUGCCCCACUUCCUCACAGGCUUCUUCUUCAGCUCCCAAGCCCCCGGGCGUCAAUAGCUGAUGGCGAGGAAAGGAAGUAGAAGAAAAAGCAGACACAUAUUAACCCUCCUUUUGGUAAGUCAGCGGCUUUUCCUGACCCAUCAGCUUCCUCUUUUAGCUAUCCAAUGACCAAAGAAGUUUCACUUCUCGACCAAAUGAUUCUCCCACCUCGAACAAUCCACCGAACCUUCCAACCUCCUAUGUCAUUAUUGCUGGAGAUACGUGGAGAACGAUCAAGCAGGGUCUACUGUAAAUACACAUGCCAAGAGAUAGGAGGAUUCUCCGAACCAUGUCAAGUCUGGUGUCUCCUUCCCUUCUCCCCUCGAUCUCUCAUGUUUUGCAUUCGUUUCCGAUAUAAUUUAAAAAAAAAUUAAAAGGUUAUAAUUUUCAAGUUCUAAGAACGGAACUUUUGUAAAAAUCUGAGGGCUUCUUAAAAAUUAAGGAAUUUAUACCAGAUGAAAAUAAAGAAUAAUUAUUAAAAUGAGGAGCACCUGUGGUAUAACAAUCGCAAGAUUAAGAAUACCCAUGGCCAGUCCUGCAUUGAAGAUGUUGUUUCUCAUCCAUCAUUACCCAGGGGAAGUAAUUUUAAUAGAAAACAGUAGAAGAACACAAAGGUGCCCACCUUGGCCAAGACCCAAAGGUUCAGCCCGAGUCGACAUCAUCGCAUAUGGAACACUGUAUGUAAUCUGAAAAGAAAUGGAAUAAAUUUCAUGCCCUGUAGCCACGCCAGCAAGAAGAGAUGAUAAAAAAAAAUGGACAUAGAUCGGAGCACUCACUGCCAGUGGUAUGCCAAGAACUGCGAAAACAACAAGGGCAACAAUGACAAUGCCAUCUGGGGGAAGACCACUCUGUGAAGGCUCCAUAUUAUUGGCCACAAGGGAUAUGACCAGCAUUGCUACGAAGCAUAAAGCCAUAAAAAUAUUUGAUAGCCCCCAGACCAGACCGGCACCCCACUUCCUGCAUAAUUUCUCUAUGCCCAUUGAAGUAAAUCCGAGAAUGAUGGAGUUCAACAUCAAACCAAAUGCCCCCAUCCGAACACCAGAGUGAUAAUUUCGUCCUUGAUUGGGCAGUCCUUUAUAGAUUUCUCGACCCAUCCAAUCCGUAUCAUAAAGAAGGAAGGGAAACCAUCCAAUCCAUGUCAAUGCAGUGACAAUCAGAAUUAUCCAGAUUGGAGAGGUUAGAUAUCUAAAAGAGCCCAAUAGUUCCCAAAUGAAAGCCUCCUCAGUGUCAUCUCCUAUUUGUGCUUCUAUCCCAGAGUGCACCACGUCACCAACAGAAUUUAAAGGAAUUUCACCGGCAGAUGAUAGACUAAUAUAUGUAGUAAAUGUGAGAAUAAUGAUAUCAAGAAUGAAAGCGGAUUUCAGGUUAGCACAGUUUGUGCCGCAAGCUGAAGUGGCAGUGAAAGGGAGGAUGGAGGACCAGCCACUGUAGGAUCCAGUAGCAAAGCCAAGAAUAUUGCCCAGAGCCAUGAACAGAGAGAAAUAUGCAUUUGCAACACGGGUCCUUCUGUGAUCCUUCCCUACAUACAAAUAAAGAAGCCAUAGUUAGAAACAUAACAAGUCUCGCAAAAUUAUCACAUGUGAUAUAGAUUUCAACAUCGCCGAGCACAAACUGUUCAUCUAUGAAAAGAGUUCUAAAUUGAAAAGACACAAAAACAAAAAAAAAGUUUUUCACUUGAUAUUUUGUAUUGUUUUUUCCAUGAGAUGAACUUGUAUUUCUUGCAAUCGAGUGAAAUUUCAAGACAGUCACACUUCAUAGACCUCCGGGCUGGCUUGGUCUCAAAGGCAUUCUCCGAUUGGGGAUAAAUGAGGAUGCGCCUAUGUCUCUGCCAGCUUGGUCUCAAGGCCACACCAUCAUCAUGACAAAUGCCUCAGUUCACACCUGGCAAACACCCUUCCUUCUUAACAGCUGAUAUGGCUCUUCCUUCCUUUUCAACAGAGAUUAUGGUCAUUCUCUGCCCUUAUUUCUUAAAUUAGGAAUCUUUUCUCAUAACUACAUAAAAAUAGACUAAUACACCAUCGUCCAGUUUUGCAUAGUACUAUUUGUCCACUAAUUUGCUUAGUUAUGGCAUCUUUUUGAUGCAUCGGUAUACAUGCUAACGUAUAUUUAAACAUAUGCAAAAAGCUCAUUUAUGCGUUGAAUCUCUUAUUUAUCAUAUGAAUACAGAUGUUUAGCCUAAAACUUUUUCAGUGAACAUAGAUACCAGAGUUUCGCGUAUAGGUCAAAUCUCUGAGAACCUGUUUAGAGGCCCCACCUAUAUCACCUUGUUCAGCAAAGUGCAUCAACAACCUUGGACGCUAGUUUCUCAAUUUAUUGAUGAAAUAACCCACAUAAACGCGUCGAUUUAUUUUCAACAGGUAUAAAUAGUAAAAUCACAAGAAAAAUAUUAAGGAAUGAAAGUUUUAGAUAACAAAAUACAUCUACGAGAUAAAUUAAAAGCAAAGUAAGUGAAAUUUUAUGAAUUUAAAUCCUAAAUCAGCAUUGUGUUUCUAAUAUGUCACUCGUCUACAUAAUGCGAGUGAUAUUACUGACGCAUUGUUCUUCAACAGUGACUAAUCAUUUGUAGUGGAAAUUAUAGAUGCUGCUAGGAUGCCACUUAGCAACAGUAACCCAUGGAGAUGCGUCCAUCAACUUCCUUACAGAAAUCUAAUAUGUCACAAGGAGCGCAAAUUAUCCAAAGAACACAACAUUUGCAGAGGUUUCACUCAUAAUUUUUUGUCAACCGACGCAGAGCAUACCAACAUAUGUCAUAUGCAUUGAUGAUAUUUGCAUGGACUAUAAGAUGAACCUUUCCCUCCAAAGAGCAAAGAACAAAGGAUAUGGAACAGAACAGCAACGAUCAACAGCAAAGAAGAUUUUUCCCAUCAAAUCCCAGCUUUGUGAAGAGUGGACCAGUUUCUCAUACAUUUGUACCUUUUCUGCAUUGGGUUACUGAUAUUAUUGCUAAUCCAUUGUACGAGUUAUUUGUACCGAGGGUUCGAAUCCCUCUCUCUCCGUUUUCUUUGUUUGUGAUAUUUUAUCAUAUCAUAGUUAAAUAUAUGGAAUUAUUUAAUAAUAUUUAGAAAAAUCAAGGAGAAAUUAUAAAAAUCUCUUAUUUUUUUAUUCCUCGCGCCCAGGAUUACGUCCUGGGUCAUUAGAUAAAAAUCCGAAGAUGAAGAGAGAAACAAAGAAUAUCACUACUGUGUAAACGAAAAGUUUGAUGGUAAGCAUUACACAAUCUCCAAGAUAGGAUCAUUUUUGGGGUAACAUUGAGGAACGUAAUCAAGAUUCUGUAAUGGUUAAAACCUUUAAAUAGAUGUGAAUAAAUCUAUGCGAUUUUGGCAUGGCAUUUCAGUGAUUCCAUCAAAUAUCUCUUACAAAGUGGGAAGGUCAUCCAUCAACUCUCAGAAACCAGAGUCCCGAUCUCAUAAAACAGUGCCCCAUUGUUGUGGUGUGUAGUGGGGGGGGGGGGGGGGGGGGGGAUGUGCAUUAUUCUUAAUUCUAAAUGCAAAUGCUAGCCCUCUAAUUUGGUUUUUUUAUGCUCACUCGACUGUUUAUUUGGAAAAAUAUCCUGACAAAACUAGCUCUUCAGUAAACAAUAAAAACACACCAUGCGGAUUAAUCGGAUUAAAAGAUGAGAAAAAAAAGAUAUUCAACUUGCACUAAAAAGAUAUGCUAGUCAUUACGGGCAUGUAUUUCAUAUUUUCUAGUCAACAAAAGAGACAUCAGUAUUUUAAAACCCACCCAUUUAUUCAAUUAUAGCAUACCAGUGACCUCAGAUUGCUACAACAACUACCUAAUAUCCCGUUACUAUUGACAAUUAUUCUCGUCUCAUAAGUGCCAAAUUCCCCACUAGAUACUAUAGAACAUCAUUAAAAAAAUUUGGGUGCGGCAGGAUUUUAAUGGUUUAUGAGCAUGAAGUAAUAAAACAGAAUUUGCUUUCCUGCUUCAGUAAACUGUUCAGGAUUGUCAGAUAAAGAAUUGCCUUUAGUUACAAUGCAAACAAGUUAACAAACAGCACAACGUGAAAUCUCUGGGGCGUUUCAUCGACACCUACUCUGUUCAAACACCCUUGAUUUACAUUCGCAAAUAAUCGAGAAGGAUUUGUCCAAAUGCACUGAAAAUUAUACCUUACUUUCUAAACUCCUUUUGCUCUUCCUUCUUCAUAUGUCUCUACUCCCUUUAAUCACACUGGCACUCUACACAUCUUUUUCUUAUUAUUUUUCAGAAUAAUUAAAAUGUAACCCUCAGAUUUUUGUUAUGAUCAACUUGGGAUUAUCACUGCGAAUCAAACCCAUUUGCGUCCCUAUUACACAUGAGGCCGCGUCACAAUCAUUAAGUGCCACACACUUCAACUAGAGUUCUUAAGAUUCUGAUGCCACAAUCUAUGAAGAGGUAAAUUAAAUUUUCCAAUAAAGAUAAGACGCACUUGACCAUACACCCAUUUGAGUAGGAACCAAAUCACUUACAAGCCGCGAUUGAACCUGUGAACCAAAAUGUUUCAAAUUUUUCCGUUCUGCACUAGAACAAGUUGCCCAACCUCAGUUACAACAUCCAGAGAUCUUAUAGCACAAUACAACUUUGAACAUGGCCAUUAUUUAUAUACUAAUGGUGCGUGCACCGCCAUCAGAAAUUAUGUUCUUUUAUGUCGAUAACCACCAAGCUUAUGGUCAGUUCUAAGAACCUCAUAAAUGAGGGUCUUCCUCUUUAACUUGCAUAUUCCAUUUACCUAACAGGAGGGUAUUUUACCAAGCCUCCCGUGCACAAUCUUUAAACACAGGAAAACACGGGCAACAGGAUCGUCAGGAGAUUACCCCAAACAUAUAAGACCAAAAUGCUAUUUUUGUCUCCAUAAUCUCAUCAACCAUUUAAAAAGAAGUUGCAGAAAAAAAGCAUUUUACCUAAUUCUUUCUAUGAAUCUCCACCGUAGACCGUAUCCCCAAUGCGCAGAAACGAGGGGAAGGAGAAAAUUCUUCUCGUCAAGAAAUUAAAACCGCCCACUAUGGCACCACUGAUGGCAUCCUCGAGUGUGUUGGCAGUAAAAAAUUGUGAAAGGUCGUCUAGAACGGAUGCUGAUCAGCAUCGCGUUUAACAAGACUAUUUAUUCUAGUGACAGAACCCUUCUGACAGGAUUGAAACUCAUUGGCAUACUUAAGUAUGAUGUAACACUUUCCAAAAAAGAUAGUCCCAUCCAAUCCAGCACUGGAUUCGGACCCAUAUGCAUAUUAUAACAGCCAUGGGUUUUAUGACGGUGACAGCUUUGGCUGACAGAGCCAUGAAAGCGCCAUCCUGUGGAAGGAGAUGAAGGAGAUGAAAAAAGCGAAGACAUUCUUUUCACAUAAGGAGGCUAGAACAGCACUACCCGCAGUCAAAGUCACUCAUAUCCCUAAUUUUUUUAUAUAGAAUAUGACUAUGACAUCAUUGGAAAAGGCAAGUAAAAAAAUACGCACGACAUGAACUUGCCAAAAAAAAUGGGCAUGACAGAUCUUCUACAUGCGAGGGAAGAUGUACGAGACACUGCACCGUCCUCGUGCAACAGAGACCACACUGGAAGAGGGCGAGAGUAGGAGGCACUCGAGGUGAAGAAUGGUCGGAAAAUGGCCGAGCAGAGAAGAGAACGGCUGUCGUGCAUAUAAGCUGAGGCCUAGGAGAAGUACCAGGGAAUGGCACAGUCAUGAGUGAUCCCAAGUGGGAGACAAGAGAAGAAAGAAGCCGCAAGGCUGGAUACGUUCCUCGUCCAUCGAUGAAGGAACCAGAGAAGGUGGCCUUCAAGUCUAAUGAAUAUACCCUUACACUGUAGAAAAAGAACGCGACUUGCCUUGCUGGGCUGUCCAAGAAUUCAGUUUUAUGGAGGUGGUUGGCCCGUAGGUGCGCCGCCGCGAACGGCGGCUUGCAGGAGACAGGAACUAGCAAAGGCAGGGUAGAGAGAGAGAGAGAGAGAGAGAGAGAGAGAGAGNNNNNNNNNNNNNNNNNNNNNNNNNNNNNNNNNNNNNNNNNNNNNNNNNNNNNNNNNNNNNNNNNNNNNNNNNNNNNNNNNNNNNNNNNNNNNNNNNNNNNNNNNNNNNNNNNNNNNNNNNNNNNNNNNNNNNNNNNNNNNNNNNNNNNNNNNNNNNNNNNNNNNNNNNNNNNNNNNNNNNNNNNNNNNNNNNNNNNNNNNNNNNNNNNNNNNNNNNNNNNNNNNNNNNNNNNNNNNNNNNNNNNNNNNGAGAGAGAGAGAGAGAGAGAGAGAGAGAGAGAGAGAGAGAGAGGAGGAACGACUUACCAGUGAGGUCGGCGAGGAGGGCGCGGGCGGGGCCCUGGGUGACGUUGUUGGCGACGUCGAGCAGCCAAAACCCUAACACAAAGAUGGCGAUGGCACGGGGACGGCGAGGGCCGCGGUCACCGAGGAUCCUACCGAGGUCGGUAGAGUGGCCGAUGAGGAGGACUGCGACGGCGAUGGAGGCGGCGCCGCCGGCGAUGAAUGGCCUUCUGCGGCCGAAGCGGCUGGUGCAGCGGUCGCUCGUGUGGCCCACCAGGGGCUGGACUAGAAGGCCCGAAAGCGGCCCGCAGAGCCAGAUGAGGCUGGACCAUACGUGGGGGAUGCCCAGCUCCUGCACGUAGGGGGUGAGCAGGGAGAGCUGCAGGGCCCAACCAAACUGCACCCCACACGACACCGAUGCCACCCGCAGCAGCCGCUUCAGGGGCACCCUCGGCGGCGCCGGCGCCGGCGCCCUGAUGGCAGUCCCAUUGGCCGCGCUGUGCCUCCCGGGCACUGUCAUCGCACGCGUCCUCCUCUCCCCCUCAGCCCAGCUCCUCUGAAGCCGAGACGGCAAAAAAAAGUGAGCGACUUUGGAUGGUCGAUGGAAAAACGGUGAGCCCUGAUCGAGAGAACGAGGGAGAAAUGAUCUUCUUUCAACCAGUGAGGACUUGAUAUUAAAGAGAGAGAGGAGGGACCUCCAUGUUUACGUGUCGCCACCGCCGGCAGCCGCAGGUGUCAUCCAGAGCCACGCCGAAGUGGAGAAGACGAGACUAGGCGAAGCCCAUCACGGUCGCGGAUGCCAUUGGCUGGCGGGGAUACCCCCAAGCAACCUCAUCAUCAUCAUCAUCCACCAUCCUCCGGCGUGAACACCAUUGCUGACCGUCUACGGCGG